CUGUUAAGUUGUGGGUUGACAUAGCAGACGACACCGCGAUUUCUCCAAAGCAGCUCUUUAUUUUGUAAGCUGGAACAGAACUAACUGAGGAGCUCAGUCAGCCUGCUUAUAUAGAGCUACAGAACAAUUGUAACUGUUGCAACAUUCUAAAACUAUCCAAUCACUGAACGUCACUUUUCGAUCCUUCAUUUGCAUACAAAACUAUCCAAUCACUGAAGGUCACUUUUUGAUCCUUCAUUUGCAUAACUAUCUACAGUAUCCCCCUGCUGGCCCAGGGUGAGAACUUCAGUACAUAACACCACCAAUGGGACACAGCACACAUGCCUUCCUCCAUUGUGAGAAAACCCUUCAACCCCAAUUUUAUUUCAUUUUAUUCUUUGGUAGGUUUACAAAAAGCAAAAAGCACACGCAGCAAUACAUAAAUUUUUGAAAGGGGCAAGAUUAUUUAUUAUUAUUAUUAUUAUUAUUAUUAUUAUUAUUAUUCCAUUUAAUAUUAUACAUUCUCAUCAUCUUUAUCCACUAUACCACCUUGGCUCUUAGAGCCUGUCGACUUCCUUCUCUCCUGCCUUGUGGCUGUCAGAAUUAACCUUUAUAUCCUUGCGAUAUAUGUAUACAUUUUCCAAUUCUAAUUACUACACUCACUGCAGAGUAUUUCAAAAAUUUAAAUAAAUAGAGAAAGGUAGAAAAUUCCUCAUUACAAGUCUUCAGGCAAAACUCUGCUGGUGAUGUUAAUUGCUUACAAAGAUCUUUCAGAUAUCGUACAAAUUUACUCCGGUCUUUUUGGAAUAUUUGUUUGUGCUAGUUUUGGAUUUUUCCUGUCAGCUUCGCCAGUUCUGCAAAGUCCAUCAUCUUCAUCUGCCACUCUUCUUUCGUUGGUACUUCUAGUUAUUUAUUUUUUAAAUUUUAUUAAUUUAUUUAACAUAAUUAUUACAAAAUGUAAGCAAAAUAUUCCAAAUACAUACAUACAUAUAUAUUUCAGAUAAGCACACAUAUAUAAAAAAAGAACAAAAGAGAAAAAAGGAAGAAAAUAAAAAGAAAAAAGAAAAAGAAAAAAUAAAGAGAAAAACAUAAAGAAGAAAAGUUGGAAGAAUUUCUUCCAAAUUUAUCCUACAAAUAUCUCAAUAAUAAAAUUUCAUUGAUUGACUUCCAUUGCUUACACUGCACUUCCUAUAUACAUUUUAAGCAAGAUUGUAUCUGUUAUUCCGUAUUUUUCCCAUACAAUCUCACACAAAUAUUCUAAUCAAUAAGUUUUCCAAAUCUUUCAUAAAUCUAUUCUAAACACAACCAAUACCUUACUUUUAAACUUUGUCUACAUAAAUAAUCAUUUAAACAUUUCCAUUGUUUGUGGAUUAUAUUUUUUUGUUUUUGUCUUAUCAAAAAAGUCAACUUUACUAAUGCCAAGUAUUCGCAUAAUUUAUUCAACCAUUCUUCUUUGGUUGGAACGUAAUUUCCUUUCCAAUUAUAUAAACAGUCUUGCUGCUGUUGUCACGUACAAGAAAAUAUUAAUUUUGUCAUUUGGGAUGUCUCCAUUCAAAAUUCCUAAUAAAUUCGAUUCUGCUCUUUUAUUAUGUGAUGUUUUUAUUGUUUGUGCUGGUUUCAGAUUUUUUCUGUCAGCUUCACCAGUUCUGCAAAGUCCAUCAUCUUCAUCUGCCACUCUUCUUUUGUUCUAGAAAAGGCAAGAUUAGACACGGAUGUGCAAUGCAUAAUUUAAAAAAAUCAAGACACCUUGUGCUCCGUUCAGCUUCCUCUUUCUUCUUGACCAGCCAGUCAAUAUUGUGUCCUACGUCUCUGGCCCAACUCAUCAUUGAAGAUUUCACCAUUUUGUCCUUUGUAUCCCACUCAAGUAGUAGGUUAUAUACUUUAGAUAUUGUUGAAACCCUGGAGCCUAGUAACUCCCUUUCAAACUGCGAAUUUUGUUCUGCAAAUCCUGUGUGUGUGUGUGUGUGUGUGUGUGUGUGUGUGUCUAAUGAAAAUAAUGCAUUCAGCUGAUGGGAACUUAACCAGUCUGUCACCUGGUCCUCUAUCUCACCAUGGUUUGGACAACUGCUGCCCAGCCACACAUCUACAUUUUACAAUUUAACAUACAAAUAUCAUUUUGCAAAGGGUUACAAAACUCCUAUCUGUGCCAAUGCCCUUUUGGUUCCUGUUGUAUCUUCACAUCAGUGUUAUGCUACGUAACAAGAAGGGGAAGGACUGAAACUUAGCGGUAGAGCAUCUGCUUUUCAUUUGGAAGGUCCCAAGUUAAUCCCUCGCAUCUCCAGGUAGUUCUGGGAGAGGCCUAUGUCUGAAAUCCUGGAGAACCAUUGCCAAUCAGUGUCAACAGUUCUGAGCCUGAUGGACCAAUGGCCUGACUCAUUGUAAGGCAGUUUCCUAUGAUCCACUUUAGCUAAAUCUCCAAUUAUCUUUUACGGAGCUUAGAUCUCCACUGAGCAAUCUCGGUAAAUGAAAUGGUACUGUAUCUUCUGGGAGCAUUAUUUGAAUCAAUGUUUAGUCAGCUGCAGCGUCAGAUCUCUUUAAGUUCCACAUGACCCAACUCGCUGUUUCUCUAGACUUCUGAUAAGCAAGGCGCUGUUGUUCUUCUGAAUUAAAAUUGGGAAUGCAGGAAAAGACCGGACGGGGGCAUGUCCAGUGUAGCAACUUGCAGAGAGAUACAGCGGGAGGCCUCGCCUGACAAUUGUGGCAUGUCUCUACAGUGUGAUUGACACUGGGAAUUAGCUGGAUUGAGAAGGGAGAAUGAAAGGAGGGACAUCUGGUUCCAUUUUUCCUCGUGAAAUUAUCUCCCACACUGACCAAGCAGGGUCUUCUCUGAAGUGUCUAAAUGCAGAAGACACAUACACACAUGUUUGUUAUCAAACGAUAUUGUGCAAAAUUAAAUUGGCUACUUUAUGGCGAAAUGGAGAAGGAGAGCAGGCAUUUCAAACAUAUGUGCUCGUCUUGGUGAGAUCUGGAAGCCAUCACUGCCCAAGGAUGGCUACUUCAAACUAUCGACAAAUAGUUAAAAGGCCGCUCAGUUAGAUGAAUAAGCAGGGCUGCGUUUAAUAAAGUUAUCAAGAGCAUAAGAGUAUGGGGGCCACGGCCUGAAACUAAUAAGCUGCUUGGUGAGCUUGAGAUAGUUCAUAUGUGCAAAGCAUUCCUCUAAAGGUGACCUGUGAAGGAAAAGCUCCGUACCAAAUUCCACUAACUGCCCCAAGAUGUGCAUGAAACACGCCCCUUGGCUAGGCUUAGGCGGCUAGGCUGCAGGCAGCUCAAAUCUGGCUAGCACAAUAGCUUUCAGAAGCUCCCAGCCUCCAUAGCUAAGGAUAGCAAAGUAGUUUCUCCCACAGCUCAGAUAUGGCCGCUACCGAGAAACUGGGACGUAUGCAUCAGGCUGCAAGAGCUCAUCAGGCAUUGGGCACAGUUUGAUUAGUUCGUACUGCAAUCGAUGGGAUUUCAGCUACUAGACACCCUUGCACAAAAUCCCAUCGCAUCCCAUGCCGAUCAAUUUUUGAGUUGUGAAAAUGAAGGUGAUGACUUCAUCUAACCUGAUUGGGAUGCCAAGCUUGUUUCUCCACUACUUCAACAUCAGUUGGCUAGAGCAUGGUGCUGAUAGCACCAAGGUUGCAAGUUUGAACCUCAUAAGGGACAGGACAGCUGCAUAUUCCUGCAAUGCAGGGGGUUGGACUAGAUGCUCCUUAGGGACCCUUCUGACUCUAUGAUUCUGUGACUGAUGAGUCCGUGUUACCUAGUGUUAGGUAGUCUGAAAGGGACCUGAGCUGCGAUGCUCAGAAGUGUCAUGCUCAGAAAAAAGCACACAAAAUCUUACAAAGUCUAAAUUGCUUCAUUAUAGAAGCAGCCGGUUAAGUUUGGCUUAUUUGCCAGCUACCUGUCAUAGCAGAGGAUUUGUCUUCCUUUCAUGGAACACAGGUUUAAUUGUGGCUAGGUACAUGAUAAAGGAGUUGUAGUGCAUUGCCAAAGUGCUUGUUUUACAUGGAGAAGCUCCCUGCUACAAUUCCAGGCAUCUGAAACGGAUGGAUCUCUCGAGUUGCCGGAAUGCCUUUGCAUUUGAAAACUGCUGCAUGGAUCACUGCUCCAUAGUCAGGUUUAUAUAUGCUUAAUCCCAAAUAGAAUCCAGUUCAAAUGGGAAGGCUUAUUUGCUGGGGGGAAGUUCCAAAACAGUGAGGUCACCACCAAGAAUGCCUCUUUCUGUGAACUCCUCAUACGGAUUUGGUGCACAGAUUAUGUCAUGAAGGCAUUCGUAGCGAAUCGUGCUUCACACAAACAGGUACUCCUGCUUAAACAAUCUCCUAACAAACCUUUCUCUGGAAAUCAUAGAACCAUAGAAUUGUAGAGUUGGAAGGGACCCUGAGGAUCAUGUUGUAAUCCAACCCCUACAAUUCAGGAAUAUGCAGCUGUCCUAUACGGGACUCGAACUUGCAACCUUGACAUUAUCAGCACCAUGCUCUAACCAAUUGAGCUAUCUUGGUGAAUAUGUCUAUGUCCUAUACAGUGGUACCUUGGUUCCUGAAUGGCUCGGCUCCCGAACAAAUUGGCUCCCGAAUGCCGCAAACCAGGAAGUGAGUGUUCCGGUUUACGGACGUUUUUUGGAAGCCGAAUGUCUGGCACGGUUUACACGGCUUCUGAUUGAGUGCAGGAAGCAACCAAUCAGAAGCUGUGCCUUGGUUUUUGAACCAUUCUGGGAGUCAUACGGGACUCAUGGAACAGAUUAAGUUUGACAACCAAGGUACCACUGUACUUUUAAAAGCUUCCUUUUAAAUCCUUGGGCCAAUCCCCAAAUUUCAAUGGCUACAGCAUUGCAAUGAUGUGGGAGCCCUAGAUAAAGACAAAAAAAGGGGAAAAAAGAACAUGCAAUAUUCAGCUAAGUUUUACUUACAGUUGUUAUUUUGAUUUCAGUGGGUCUAACUCUGAGGAAAAAAUAGUUGACUCAAGGAUUGGAUUCAGACUAACUUGAGCCCAGUCCUCAUUGAAAUCAAUGGGGCUUCAGUCGUCAUCCUAACUAACUUUGAUUCCCAGGGACUAAAGUGCAACUAGCUUAGUCUGAAUUAAACCCAAAGCCAAUAUCCUACAUUUCCUCUCCCCCCUCUUUCAUUGCACAAAUUAGAGAAAACUAACUUAGUGGAACUGUAGGGAUCUAAGAAUAGCUUUGAUUCUGCUAAACAUUUACAAUUCUGUUUUAUGUAUGUAGUCAGAAACAGAGCAAGGAAAUACAAAAUGUACAUCUCUAAAUGAACCUAUACAGGGAGCCCUGUAUAUGUGAGGAGCCCUCACAUAUCUCCUCCAAACAAAUGCAUGUUGCAGCUAAAUCUCAAACAAGAGAAUCACAGAGACUCAAUAGCCAUGGAUGCAUGGAAAGAAAUCAGACAUAGGUUGGUUUUUGUUGGGGGCUGUACUUUCAUGUAGCUUAAGAAAACCUCUGACGGCUUACUAUCUCCUUAUUUAUUUUGACACCUAUAAUUAGUUUCAGUUCUCUUACUUUUAAGGAUAAUACCAGUUGAGUUAAACGGGUUUUUUGGGGUUUUUUUAGAAGCAGAAAAGUAAGUUUCGGAAACAGAAAAUGUGUGCCAAAAGAUGCGUGGUUGUUCUUCGCUAUAAUAGAGUGAAGUUUUUGAAGUGGAGUAGUGAGGAGUUUCGCUAGGCUGCCAACUGUAGCGACUUCCAAUAAAGAAGUGGGCCCAAUUCAAGGUACUAGUUCUUAUGUUUUUAAAGCCUUUAGUGAGCUGGGUUCUGGAUUGCUGUGGGAGCAUCUUCUCCCCUAUGUUCCCUCUCCACCUCUCCCACUUUUAACAUAGUAAUAGCACACAGCAAGUAUUAAAUAAACAAGUAAGACUCCUGCCAACCUAGCAGUUCGAAAGCACGUCAAAGUGCAAGUAGAUAAAUAGGUACCACUCUGGCGGGAAGGUAAACGGCGUUUCCGUGCGCUGCUCUGGUUCACCAGAAGCAGCUUAGUCAUGCUGGCCACAUGACCCAGAAGCUGUACGCCGGCUCCCUCAGCCUAUAGAGCGAGAUGACGCCGCAACCCCAGAGUCGGCCACGACUGGAUCUAAUGGUCAGGGGUUCCCUUUACCCUUUAAGACUUGCUGUAAGCUUUUUUAGGCUGCCUCUUGGGAGCACACACCUGCAUGUGCUCUGCUUGGCCCCUUCCUUUGUGGCUUUUUAUCAACAACUCAGAGCAACAACAAUAAUAAUUUUAUUAUUUAUACCUCGCCCAUCGCCCUGGGUUUCUCCAGCCACUCUGGGCAGCUUACAACAUAUCUAAAAACAUAAUAAAAACAUCAAUCCUUAAAAACUUCCCUAAACAGGGCUGACUUCAGAUGUCUUCUAAAAGUCAGAUAGUUGUUUAUUUCCUUGCCAUCUGAAGGGAUGGUGCCACUACCGAGAAGGCCCUCUGCCUGGUUCCCUGUAACUUCACUCCUCGCAGUGAGGGAAACGCCAGAAGGCCCUCAGAGGAGGACCUCAGUAUCCGGGCUGAACAAUGGGGUGGAGACGCUUCUUCAGGUAUACUGGGCUGAGGUCAUUUAGGGCUUUAAAGGUCAGCAUCAACACUUUGAAAUGUGCUUGGAAAUGUACUGGGAGCCAGUGAAGAUCCUUUAGGACCAGCGUUAUAUGAUCUCAGUGGCCACUCCCAGUCACCAGUCUAGCUGCCGCGUUCUGGAUUGGUUAUAGCUUCUGAGUCACCUUCAACAAUCCUAUGCAUGUCUGCUGAGAACUCUCAUUGAGUUCAGCGGGACUUACUUCCAGGUAAAUGGAUAAGCACACUUACCGUAAGUUCCAAUGAACACUGUGGGACUUGCUUUUGAGAAGAUGUGUAACACUGCAUUGUUAAAGGGUUUUUUUUUCCUUUGAGUAGAAGCUUACUCCUUGGGUCUUUUACACUGAAAGGAAUAGUAAACCCUUUAAAAAAUUGCUCUUUGCUUUCUUAUUUUUAUAUUUUCGUGAUUAAAAAAAAAAUUGCUUGAAGUGUCCAAAAUGGCUUGUCGAUGUGCUUCAGACUAUAAUCGUGCAGACACAUACCUGUGAUUUAAGUCCCAUUGGACUCCGCAGGGCUUACUUUUGAGUAGGCAUGUAUUGUACCACAUCAUUUCUCCAGUACAUUUCUCAGAAGAAAUACUGAUUUCUGCUAAGUCGGGGGAAAGGCUCCGUUUUGCUUGUCGGCUACAGGUGCUUAACUAUAAGUGAAAUUUUCAGGAAAUCAAGAUGGGACCGGAAAGAGAGGAAGUUAAUGUAGCUGGUUUCCUGGAAGAUGCUAUACUGUCCUUUUCUUUUUUUAAACUUCUUCCAUUGUGAAAACUUCAAAAUGACUGUAUUAAGUUGCCAGAUAUCUAAAGUUGUCAAAUGAUUUUAAAAAAACACACACCAGGUUUAACAUUUGCAGUUGCGGAUGGGAUAAAGCGGUCACUCAAAGAUUGCCUAUUAGGAGUUCACAGUAUUCUUAUUACAGUAAUAGAAUGCACAGCUUAAUGAAUCUGAGAGCUGAGGAUCUUAAAACCUCCUCGGGAUGUGGAAGAUUUAUAAGGAUUCCAGAGAGCCUGUUGGAAUUAUGGAUAUAACGUUAACGUUUACAACAGGGACUUUGUUCUCCUUCAUGCAGGCUGUGGUGAGCACAGCUGAAUUUGGGAGAGGAUAUUAGACCCAUCCUCAGCAGGACAAUUCCGAUAUGCUGGCUAGCAUUAAAAAAGCAAUUUAAAAAGCAUAAUGCUCAGGAAGCACCUAAUUUUACUGCCAGCUGGGUGUUAAAUUAAUUGCGCAUAUAUAGAAAGCAGCAGAAGAUAAGAGGCAGCUAGCCUUUGAAGGUAUGCACUUUGUAAAAAGUGCUUUUGUUUCUCUGGUCUAAGGUGACUGCAGUCACCCUCAUAAAAGAUGCUCCGGUCAGCAGUGGAAUGAUAAAGCAGAAGAUUAAGCUAAUUUACUUCUGGCAGAUUUAAAUACAGAGUUCUGGCGAUGAAGCAGUAUUCAAGGCCUUGGCCUCAUAAGAGGCUGUACCAGCACUACUGAACAGAGGUACGUCGGAUCAUGCAGCAAGGCUGCAUCAUCAAGACGGGCAUUAGCACUGACAAUACAAGGAUCUCCUGCAGUCAGGCAGGACAAUCCAUACCCUUCAAGUGUUCCUAUUUUCCAGAGACAGUCCAGGAUUUACAGAAGCCAUCCUGGUUUCUGAUUUGAUCCUGGAAUGUCCCUCUUUUUCUUAGGACGUCCCUAUUUUCAUUGGAGAGAUGUUGGAGGGUAUGGGCACUCCAGCCCUGUGCGAAAGGUUCCUUUCCACAUGGACACCAAAAGCACUGAGAAGGAAGCAGGGCCACCACACCUGCUGGCCAUGCACCUGACCUGAUACCCAGAUGCCUGGCCUGCUAGCACAUCAGUGCCCAGGGCCUUCUGGUGGUUCCCUCACUGCAAGAAGCAAAACUUCAGGGAACCAGGCAGAGGGCCUUCUCGGUAGUGGCGCCCGCCCUGUGGAAUUCCCUCCCAUCAGAUGUCAAAGAGAUAAACAACUACCUGACAUUUAGAAGACAUCUGAAGGCUGUUCAGGGAAGUUUUUAAUGUGUGACAUUUUAAUGUAUUUUUAAUCUUUGUUGGAAGCCGCCCAGAGUUUCCCCAGCCAGAUAGGCAGGGUACAAAUAAUAAAUUGUUGUUGUUGUUGUUGUUGUCAUCAUCAUCACCCAUUCAAGCAGCCACACAUCAUAGAAUUGUAGAGUUGGAAGGGACCCCAAGGGUUAUCUAAUCCAACUUCAAUUCAUGUUCCUGCUUGGCCGCAACUCCCUCCAUCUCUGGCGCCCAAGAUUCAGCAACAUCCUCUUCCCUCAUCUGUUCUGUCAGGGCACACUCCUGAUCUGAUUCCUGGGUGGGCUCUAUAUAGUUUCCCACUGCCUGUCCAAAAUUUCUAAUUGCAUCAGUCAUCAGUCUAAUCGCAUCAGUCAUAAAAUCCGUCUUCUCAUGUAGCUGUUCCAAUAGGGCACUUGUUUUACAGAAAGCACUCAACAGAGCUUCUGAGUACAUUGUCCUGCAAGGUCAGAAGUCUAUUCCCACGAUCGUAAUCUGUAACAGCUGCUGGCUCCCGGUUCAAAAUUGGUUACAGUUUCACAGGCUCCCUCUAGGGGAAGAACUUCUAUUUGUUCUUUUCUUUUAAAAACAGAUCUAACAACAAAGUUUCCUUUUUCAGAUAUUUUGUCAGUAUUUGUUCCUUUAAAAAGCGAAGGGGAACAAUGGAAUCACUAUGUAUCUCUUCCUUUAGCUAUCUGUCAAAAACGUUUGUCUCUGGUCAAUGAGCUUCAAAAAAAGUCAGUCCUGACCCCCGCUCCAGGAUCAAGACGGUGGAAAGUUACUUUACUUUACACUCACUUCUGCAGGUUUAAACAGUCCGGAAAAAAUCCCCCCUCUUCUCCUGCUUCCGAAGGGGGUUCAACAAUUUUAAAUGGUGAAAGUUAAUCCUUUAGAAACGAUUUUCAGAACUCUAGUUUGCCGUGUCUUUGCUUUAAUCUAUCUACAAAGAAACGGAAGGCUGACUUCCUGUUUAGACCUUCCCAUUUCAGUGCCAAAUUAAAUUAAACUUUUAAGUCCAGUUUUCCUUUCUGCUCGCAAAUCCCUAUUUAGAGUCCAAUUGUCCAAAACUUAAGUACUCACGGGUGGUUGUUUUAAAAGCCAAAUUGUCCCAGGAAAAAGGCAGCGCUCUCCGGCAACGGCUGUGCGGCUUCGCUCCACGGAAGAAGCAGUUGACUCUCAGCACCGCGCCACUUCCCCCUCUUCAAUCUAAUCUCUGCUAAAGCAUCCAUGACAGAUGGCCAUCCAACCUCUGCUUGAAAACCUCUAAAGAAGGAGAGUUCACCACCUCCUGAGGGAGACCAUUCCACCAUCGAACAGCUCUCUCUGUCAGAACGUUCUUCCUGAUGUUUAGUUGGAAUCUUAUUUCUUGUAGCUUGAAGCCACUGGUUGAAGUCCUACCCUCCAGAGCAGGGGUCAGCAACCCUUUUUAGCCAUGGGCUGGUCCACCGUUCCUCAGACCAUGUGGUGGGCCGGACUAUUUUUUUGGGGGGAUGAACAAAUUCCUACGCCCCACAAAUAGCCCAGAGAUGCAUUUGAAAUAAAAGCACACAUUCUACUCAUGUAAAAACAUGCUGAUUACCAGACUGUCCGCGGGCCGGAUUGAGAAGGCGAUUGGGCCGCAUCCGGCCCAUGGGCCUUAGGUUGCCUACCCCUGCUCCAGAGCAUUUGGUGUUCAAGGAGGUAUUGCAGACACACACAGCACUGUGUACUUAAUCUGUUGCAUGUCACUGGCCCACCUCAUCUCUACACACUCUAGAAACUUCCAGAGGGACAAAGGGUUUUAAAAAAGAAAAAUCCCACUGCAUGCAUUAAAGUGCUACUGCAGUAAUCUCAGCAGUGCUGAAUCACCAGUCUGCUUUUUGCAAAAGGCGCAGUGUCUAUUUUUACACACAUUUAAGCUCCAAAUAUCACGGACUGCCAUUGAUGCAUCUCAUUGCCAUUCAGCUCUCACCUUACCAUUUUCUCCAUUUUAUACCUGCCAGCAAAGUCUUCACGCAGCUGAAGUAGGUUUGAGUCAACAAAACUUAUAAUAAAUCUGUUUAGUCUCUAAGGUGCCAUAGGUGGUUGUUAUCAAGUGGUAAAAGGUAAAGGUAAAGGUACCCCUGCCUGACAGGGCCAGUCGUGUCCGACUCUAGGGUUGCGCGCUCAUCUUGCUCAAGAGGCUGGGAGCCGGCACUGUCCGAAGACACUUCUGGGUCACAUGGCCAGCGUGACGAAGCUGCAGCUGGCGAGCCAGCACCAGCGCUGCACACGGAAACGCUGUUUACCUUCCCGCUAUAAAGCGGUACCUAUUUAUCUACUUGCACUUAGGGGUGCUUUCGAACUGCUAGGUGGGCAGGAGCUGGGACCGAACGACGGGAGCUCACCCCGCCGCGGGGAUUCGAACUGCCGACCUUACGAUCAGCAAGUCCUAGGCACUGAGGUUUUACCCACAGCGCCACCCGCGUCCCUUUCAAGUGGUAGUGCUAUUCAAAUUUGGCUGUGUCAUAACCUCUGAUAUAUGAGAGGAGUGGCGGGCAGCUCUGCAUUGCAAAGAGGAAGCCAUACAGCAUGUACUCAAAGGGAUUUAAAAUAAAAAUAAAUCAUAAUAAUAUCUAUUUUGAAUCAGGGUUAGAAAGCAACAAGAUUUCAAAUGUACAUUUGUUAGAUCAGGACAGACCCUUGGAAAUGCAUAGAGCACCUUCACUGAUGGGUUUUUGGUGUUGUUGUUUAGUUGUUUAGUUGUGUCCGACUCUUCAUGACUCCAUGGACCAGAGCACGCCAGGCACUCCUGUCUUCCACUGCCUCCUGCAGUUUGUUCAAACUCAUGCUGGUAGCUUCGAGAACAUUGUCCAACCAUCUCGUCCUCUGUCGUCCCCUUCUCCUUGUGCCCUCAAUCUUUCCCAACAUCAGGGUCUUUUCCAGGGAAUCUUCUCUUCUCAUGAGGUGGUCAAAGUAUUGGAGCCUCAGCUUCAGGAUCUGUCCUUCCAGUGAGCACUCAGGGCUGAUUUCCUUAAGAAUGGAGAGGUUUGAUCUUCUUGCAGUCCAUGGGACUCUCAAGAGUCUCCUCCAGCACCAUAAUUCAAAAGCAUCAAUUCUUUUGUGAUCAACCUUCUAUAUGGUCCAGCUCUCACUUCCAUACAUCACUACUGGGAAAACCAGGACUGUUUAAAAACCCUUUCACUGAUGCCUUUGGGGAAAACUGGAAAUGCUUGAUGGACACCAGCUGAAAUCAAACCAAUGAAUUUGUUGCAGUUAAUAGGCUGUGUGUGUGUGUGUUUUAAAACGUAUAGAUGUAUUAAUUGUUUGACGUAUUGUGCUAUGAUUCGUUUUAUUGAAUGAAAAUGCUGGGUGUCCAGAACUCAGAUCUGCAUAUUUUGCAAUACAGUUCUCAUUAAAAAUACCCAUUUAAAAUAUACAUAUAUACAGGGUUUUUUUUAAAAAUAAUAAUCUUAAAAGCAUUUGUCACCCUGGGUCCCUUUGGGAGGGAGAGUGGGACAUAAAUUGAAGGAUACUACUAAUAAUGUUUUGCACUUUUUGAUUAAAUAGUGUUUUAAAUAUGAAUUUCUGUAAGGAUUUUUUAAAAAACAAUCUUUGAUUAAAACAGAAAGAGAAUUAAUUAUGUUUGUGUUCUGAGUUACUUUAAUGAUUGAAUGGGAGUAAACAAUGAGACAAAAUCAGUAUUAGAUUCAGAAGGAAGUACCGUAUAUGUGUCACAUGAGUGAAGAUACAGGAGAUUUGCCUCCUAACAUCUUCAUCAAGGUAACCACCACAACCCUGAGAUCUGCUUCCUGGUCAGUCUCCACCAGUUCAGAUCUUUGACUGUGUUUGUGAAAUUUAAACUUUCUUCUCCCCCUCCACCCCCAAUUCACAUUACUUUGCACUUGCAGUUACGUUUGUCAUUUCCCUGCCCAUUCACCCAGUAUGGAGGGAUCGUUUCAGAACUCUUUGCGAUCCCUUUAUGCUCUAACUAGCCUGAACAAUUGGGUAUCACCAACAGGCUUGGCUACCUCACUGCUCACCGCUAACGGUAGAUCAUUUCUGAACAAGUUAAAAAGCACAGGUUGAUCCUUGAGGGAACUCCAAUGGGAGAACAGGGACUCCAAAAUUGUGGUCCAGGAGCUUCACUGAGUGGUCUGCAGAAUGUAAACAUUAAAUAAUCAUAUUGAUCUUACAUUGUGUUUUCAUUGUUUCUUUUAUUACUUAUAUUUUAUUUAUUGAAUGAAUUCUGUGGAACACUUUUAAAAAUCAUACAGCAUCUAGCAGACCCUCCAAAUGUCCCUAUUUUCCAGGGACAGUCCCAGAUUUACAGAAGCCGUCCCAUUUUCUGAUUUGAUCUCGGAAUGUCCCGCUUUUCCUCAGAACAUCCCUGUUUUCAUCAGAGAAAUGUUGAAGGAUAUGGAGUUAUGUGACCCCUGAGCCAAGAAGAUGAGUAACUCUGAACCUUUAGAAGACAUCUGAAGGCAGCCCUGUAUAGGGAAGUUUCUUAAUGUUUAAUGUUUUCAUGUUUAAUGUUUCAUUAUGUUUUUAUAUAUGUUGGAAGCCGCCCAGAGUGACUGGGGCAACCCAGUCAGAUGGGCAGGGUAUAAAUAAUAAAAUAAGUUGUUGUUGUUGUUGUUGUUGUUAUAGGAUGUCCCUAUUUUCAUCAGAGAAAUGUUGGAGGCUUUGAUUUAGUACAAUGCAUUACAGUUGCUACAAAAGGCCAAAAUAAUAAAUAAAUCAUUCACUGGUAUCACCAACUCCAUCUGCAAUUUUCAUGGGGAGUGGGGAGUUUAAGAAUCACUGUUCUAAAACACAGGAAUAAAAAAAGCUGUCUUAUUGCGAAUCAGACCAUUGUUCCGAUUCCCAGAGUAUUUUAACAACCAAUCCCAUUUUCAGGAAACACUGGACAUUGUAACUCUCUGAGGGAAAUAGGGAUCUCCUAACAACUCUCAGCACUAGAGUUCCCAGAAUUCUUUGGGGGAAGCCAUGACCGUUUGAGGUGAUACGGUACUACUUUGCAUGUAUAGCAUACCCUCCAACAUGCUGAGGCCGAAAACCGGGAUGCGUGUCUUCCUUGCUGCAUUCCUGUGCAGGUCACAUGAUCCGCACUAGAGCACAGAGCCCAAAAACAGGAUCUCCCAAUUUAAUUGGGGCAGUUGAGGCAUAUGGUAUAGUGAAGAUGAGGCCUAUGUGAGGGUAAUUGAAGUCACCCAUCACUACAACAUUUCCUCUUAAGGAUGCCUCCUGGAUUCCAUCCUCCAUCUCAAGAUUGUUACUGUUGUUAGCCGCUCUGAGCCCGGCUUCGGCUGGGGAGGGCGAGAUAUAAAUAAAAUUUAUUAUUAUUAUUAUUAUUAUUAUUAUUAUUAUUAUUAUUAAGAUCCCUCUGAGCAUGUCCACAUCCUUUACCAUAAGUGCUAUGUUAGCUUAAAUCUUGGUUGGUCUACUUUCUUUGUUCCUCCUUUUUAUUACAGUGGUACCUAGGUUUUCAAGUGUCAUGGAAGCUGAAUGUUUUGGUUUCUGAACGCCGAAAACCCAGAAGUAAUUGCUUCCGUUUUCGAACGUGCCUCAGAAGUCAAACGGCUUCCGUCGUGUGUUUUUCAAUUUUCUCCAUUGACUUUGCCCCUCGGUCGUCGAAUGUUUCGGAAGUAAAACGGUCUUCCGGAACAGAUUAUGUUCGGCAACCGGGGUACCACUGUACUGUCCUGUCCAUAAUUUCUGAGGAGAAUCUAUGUGGCCUGAUCCAAUGUAGAGUGCCUUGGACCUGAGUCCCAUUGAAUUCAAUGAGGUAUACACCCAACGAGGCCUGUCCUAGGACUCCAGCUUGAAAGGCACGGAGACAGGGAAGGCAGCAGGUCCCUCUGGCACGCAAAGUCUGCUUCUGCCACUUCUUCUGUGAAGCACCAGCUUGCUGACCAGUAAUUAGCUUUGCCGAAGUCCUGCCUAGCAGCACUAACUACAAAGGCAUGCAGUUUUGAGGAACUUUUCUCCUCUCUUUCUUCCCCCGGAAUACAUAAGAAGCCUUUCUAGGCAUGAUUGCUUAAGUCCCUCCUGUGAUCUCACACAGUAGAGUUAAAAAGUGGAUUAAGAAAAAGUAAUAAGCUAAAGAAAAAGAAACAUAGCGCUUUGCUCAUUUAUUUUAUAUAUUAAGGAGAACGCUGACCUUUGUGAUAGCUUUUCUCUCUCCUCCCCCCCCCAACCCCUGCCUCCCCUAGUAUUCACUAGCGAUGAAUAGAAUGUAUUUGGAGUUUAAAUGAAACAGAGCACUUUGAAAAGACAGAAAAUUAGCAACAUAUGGGCCAAGCAACCAAAGAGAGAUGAGAAAAAGGGAGGUGGGGGCGGUCGGGGAAGGAAAAGGGAAGAAGGGCGAAAGGAAUUUCAGAAGUCGCUGUUAUCUCACGGAAGACUAUUUUAAUGUGUAUCUUUUCAUAUUGUUAUUGUGGGAGGUCAGGACACUCUUGGGCAUCUCCUAGCAGUCAGACCUGAUUUAUAUCUUUCUUUGUGCGGUGCUGCUGUGCUUGUGCAGGAAAUAUCAGGGUGUCUUUAGACAUUCCACAGAGGGAACAAAGAAGCACAUGACUCACCCUUCCUUUUUUCACACUUUAUGUGUGAUGUACGAAGCAAGUGGAAUGCCCCUUGAAAGUAGGUGUGCACUUAUAGGAUUCACUGUGGCUGGGUUGGGGAGCCAAGGCUGAACACCACUGUUCAGCUGUGCGCAGUGGGCGAAGAAGGUACCUCUUUUGCUUAACAGCAAGUGUGAAACCUCGUACAUAGCAGGAAGACAUUCAACCAAACACACAGAGGAAAAACUCCCUCAGAACCACACAGCCAAUCAGAGCACAUGUUACUUCAACAAAGACCACAACGGUUGCUCCAAGUGGCUGCUUUAAGUCCUUACCAGUGACAGGUCAGACAGUGGGCAAAGCAGGGCUGCAGAACAGGAGAGAGAAGUGGAUUCAGAAAUGAGAAAGCAAGCUUAGUAGUAGCAAGGGUUGGAAAGGGGAAGCUCUAGGGGUUAAUGGGGGAAUAGCAGGGGGGUUGAUGAGCAAAAUAAUAAUAAUAAUAAUAAUAAUAAUAAUAAUAAUAAUAAUAAUAAUUUAUUUAUACCCCGCCCAUCUGGCUGGGUUUCCCCAGCCACUCUGGGCGGCUUCCAACAAAACACUAAAAUACAAUAACCUAUUAAACAUUAAAAGCUUCCCUAAACAGGGCUACCUUCAGGUGUCUUCUAAAAGUUUGGUAGUUAUUUUUCUCUUUGACAUCUGGUGAGAGGGCGUUCCAUAGGGCGGGUGCCACUGCCGAGAAGGCCCUCUGCCUGGUUCCCUGUAACUUGGCUUCUCGCAGCGAGAGAACCGCCAGAAGGCCCUCGGCGUUGGACCUCAGUGUCCAGGCAGAACGAUGGAGGUGGUGACGCUCUUUCAGGUAUACUGGACCGAGGCCCACCCAUCUGACUGUGUUGCCCCAGUCUUAUACUUAUACAUUCCCGCAUACGGAAGUUUUUAAAUCUGGAACACAACACAUUAUACUGUACAUUUAAAAACUUCCCUAUGCGGGACUGCCUUCAGAUGACUUGGGGGUUGAAUAACUCUGUACCCUCCAACAUUUCUCUGAUGAAAAUAGGGACGUCCUAAGGAAAAGCGAGACAUUCCAGGAUCAAAUCAGAAACUGGGACGGCUUCUGUAAAUCCUGGACUGUCCCUGGAAAAGAGGGACUCUAGGAACUUUCCAUCUGAUUGGGGUGGACUGCUAUCUUUGUGUUGGCAGCAGUCUUGUCUUUUUUAAACAGCUCCAAAGCAAUGAAGGAGAUUGCAGUCUGGAAAGGGAUGGAAUGCUUAGGCUGCAAAUUCCCCACCAAUGCUUUAUGGGAGGUUGAGAUGUGGUGGAACGUCAACAACAGUUGCUCCUGAGUGUCCUCUCCAGGGGGUUAUGGCAGAGGGAUUGGUGAGGGGAGUCAGAACAGCCCCUUGUAUUCUCAUGCUUCUGUGCAUGUCCUGCCACACACUGCCUUCCUAGAUAAGAGAAGGUGAAGUGGCUUCAUGAAGGAGAAGAUGUCUUUCAAGAAAAGUGCCAUAGCACACAAUCCUUCCUGCUGCUGGUUGUGGGUUAAUUCUAAGGCUAAAUAGUUUCUUUUUGGAGUGUGAGGGGAGAAUCUCUUGUGUCCAGAGGCAGCAGACACUAUAAAUGCACCUCUUGAAUCAUAGAAUCAUAGAGUUGGAAGAGACCACAAGGGCCAUCGAGUCCAACCCCCUGCCAAGCAGGAAACACCAUCAGAGCACUCCUGACAUAUGGUUGUCAAGCCUCUGCUUAAAGACCUCCAAAGAAGGAGACUCCACCACACUCCUUGGCAGCAAAUUCCACUGUCGAACAGCUCUUACUGUCAGGAAGUUCUUCCUAAUGUUUAGGUGGAAUCUUCUUUCUUGUAGUUUGGAUCCAUUGCUCCAUGUCCGCUUCUCUGGAGCAGCAGAAAACAACCUUUCUCCCUCCUCUAUGUGACAUCCUUUUAUAUAUUUGAACAUGGCUAUCAUAUCACCCCUUAACCUCCUCUUCUCCAGGCUAAACAUGCCCAGCUCCCUUAGCCGUUCCUCAUAAGGCAUCGUUUCCAGGCCUUUGACCAUUUUGGUUGCCCUCCUCUGGACACGUUCCAGUUUGUCAGUGUCCUUCUUGAACUGUGGUGCCCAGAACUGGACACAGUACUCCAGGUGAGGUCUGACCAGAGCAGAAUACAGUGGCACUAUUACUUCCCUUGAUCUAGAUGCUAUACUCCUAUUGAUGCAGCCCAGAAUUGCAUUGGCUUUUUAGCUGCCGCGUCACACUGUUGGCUCAUGUCAAGUUUGUGGUCAGCCAAGACUCCUAGAUCCUUUUCACAUGUACUGCUCUCAAGCCAGGUGUCACCCAUCUUGUAUUUGUGUCUCUCAUUUUUUUUGCCCAAGUGCAAUACUUUACAUUUCUCCCUGUUAAAAUUCAUCUUGUUUGUUUUGGCCCAGUUCUCUAAUCUGUCAAGGUCGUUUUGAAGUGUGAUCCUGUCCUCUGGGGUGUUAGCCACCCCUCCCAGUUUGGUGUCAUCUGCAAAUUUGAUCAGGAUGCCCUUGAGUCCAUCAUCCAAGUCGUUGAUAAAGAUGUUGAAUAAGACCGGGCCCAAGACAGAACCCUGUGGCACCCCACUAGUCACUCUUCUCCAGGAUGAAGAGGAACCAUUGAUGAGCACCCUUUGGGUUCGGUCAGUCAGCCAGUUACAAAUCCACUGAGUGGUAGCAUAGUCAAGACCGCAUUUUACCAGCUUCUUUACAAGAAUAUCAUGGGGCACCUUGUCAAAUGCCUUGCUGAAAUCAAGGUAGGCUACAUCCACUGUGUUCCCUUCAUCUACCAGGCUUGUAAUUCUGUCAAAAACGAGAUCAGGUUAGUCUGACAUGACUUAUUUUUCAGAAAUCCAUGCUGACUAUUGGUGAUCACAGCAUUCCUUUCUAGGUGCUCACAGACUGUUUGCUUAAUGAUCUGCUCCAGAAUCUUCCCUGGUAUUGAUGUCAGACUGACUGGGCGGUAAUUAUUUGGGUCCUCUCUUUUCCCCUUUUUGAAAAUAGGGACAACAUUUGCCUUCCUCCAGUCUGCCGGGACUUCGCCUGUUCUCCAGGAAUUCUCAAAGAUGACUGCCAGUGGUUCUGAGAUCAUAUCUGCCAGUUCCUUUAAUACUCUUGGAUGCAGUUCAUCUGGCCCUGGAGACUUGAAUACAUCUAAACUAGCCAAGUAUUCUUGUACUAUCUCCUUAGUUAUUCUGGGCUGUGUUUCCUUUGCUGAAUCAUUUGCUCCAAAUUCUUCAGGUCGGGCAUUGUUUUCUUUAUCGGAGAAGACUGAGGCAAAGAAGGCAUUGAGGAGUUCAGCCCUUUCUGUGUCCCCUGUUUGCAUUGCACCAUCUUCUCCUCUGAGUGACCCCACUGUUUCUUUGUUCUUCCUUUUGCUACGAACAUACCCAUAAAAGCCUUUUUUAUUGCUUUUAACCUCUCUAGCAAGCCUGAGUUCAUUCUGUGCUUUAGCUUUUCUGACUUUGUGUCUACAUGUGCUGGCUAUUUGUUUGAAUUCCUCUUUGGUGGUUUCCCUUUUCCAUGUUUUGUACACAUCCUUUUUAAUCUUAACUCAGUUAAAAGUUCUUUAGAUAGCCACCCUGGCUUCUUUAGGCACCUUCCAUGUUUCUGUCUCAUUGGUAUUGCCUGACGUUGUGCUUUUACUAUCUCCCUCUUAACAAACUCCCAGCCAUCAUGAACUCCCUUUCCUUUUAGUAUUACUGUCCAUGGGAUCUCACCCAGCACUUCCCUAAGUUUUAUGAAGUCGGCUUUCUUAAAGUCAAGAAACUGAGUCCUAGUAUGCUUGGCUGCUCCUUUCCACUGUAUAGUAAACUUCAGAAGAGCAUGAUCACUCGCGCCUAAUGAUUCUUCCACUUCUACCCCACUAACCAGGUCAUCAACAUUGGUUAGGACCAGAUCUAAAAUGGCUGUUCCUGUUUCUUGAGAAGGACAAACCCUAGUUUUUGGCCCCAAACCAGUUUAAUAGCUGAAGUCAUCUCACAGAUUAUCACCAAGCCACUAUAUCAUUAUUAUUUGAAAGGCCCUUUUGAGUGCGUAUGUGGAUAAAGGCAUAUUUCAUGAAUAGUGUAUAAAUGUAUCAACUGGAAGGAGUGUGAAUGUGGGGGGACUUCAUGACGUAAAAUCGUUUAAAGAGAAGAGAAAGCUGCUUUCAUGAAUCCCAAACGUGGAAUGUUAGUUGUACAAUGGGAAGUGACUCUGUCUAGGGGAAAAGAUUGGAGCUAUUAUUUCCAAAUGCACAGGAGCCCUCAUAUUCAUUAUUGUAAGCCACUGUACAUCGUGCGCCGGAAGAGAAAGCCAAAUGGCACAAAAAGAAUUCAGAAAAAUCUAAACUGACUAUUCAUGAAUGAAUGCCAACAUUCUAAAAAGAUAGAGAAGGGUUUUUUGGGGGCACAAAAAGAAAUCCGUGCAAAGGAAGGCUAUGAGGUUUGAAAUGUGUGACAAUCAUCAUCAUCACUGAAAUCAACCUGCUGUAUUCCAAACCAAAGAACUGACUUGCGGAUCCUUUGCAAGCUGUUCAGUUCAGAUCAAAUAACUCGAUGAGGUUUUCAGCAAGGGUGUAAUAAAUAAUAAUAAUAAAUUUAUUUAUUUAUUUAUUUAUUUAUUUAUUUAUACCCUGCCCAUCUGGCUGGGUUUCCCCAGCCACUCUGGGUGGCUUCCAACAAAAUAUUAAAAAUACAAUAAAACAUCAAACAUUUAAAAAAUCCCUAAACAGGGCUGCCUUCAGAUGUCUUCUAAAAGUCAGAUAGCUGUUUAUUUCCUUGACAUCUGAUGGGAGGGCAUUCCACAGGGCGGGUGCCACCACCGAGAAGGCCCUCUGCCUGGUUCCCUGUAGCUUCGCUUCUUGCAGUGAGGGAGCUGCCAGAAGGCCCUCGGAGCUGGACCUCAGUGUCUGUGUUGAACGAUGGAGGUGGAGACGCUCCUUCAGGUAUACUGGGCCGAGGCCAUUUAGGGCUUUAAAGGUCAACACCAGCACUUUGAAUAGUGCUCAGAAACAUACUGAAAUUCCACACAUGCAGUAGUACAGAGAUUUGCCAGCACCACAGACUAGCAUAACAUUGCAACGGAUGCCAUCAUCAUAAAUAAAGAGAUAAAUAAAGAGAUAAAUAUUAUUCCUUCAGGGUAUAUGCUGCACAGGACUUUAAGCUGCUGUUCAGAUUUUAGGGGAUGCGGGUGGCGCUGUGGUCUAAACCACUGAGCCUCUUGGGCUUGCCGAUCAGAAUGUUGGUGGUUCGAAUCCCUGCAAUGGGGUGAGCUCCCAUUGCUUGGUCCCAGCUCCUGCCAACCUAGCAGUUUGAAAGCAUGCCCAAAAGUGCAAGUAGAUAAAUAGGUACCGCCCCAGUGGGAAGCUAAAUGGCGUUUCUGUGCGCUGCUCUGGUUGCGCCAGAAGCGGCUUAGUCAUGCUAGCCACAUGACCCGGAAAAACCAUUUGCAGACAAACACCUGCUCCCUCGGCCUGUAAAGCGAGAUGAGCGCCUCAACCCCAUAGUCAUCUGUGACUGGACUUCACUGUCAGGGGUCCUUUACCUUUACCUUUUCAGAUUUUGUGGCAUGUGUGUGUGUGUUUUAAUAGGAUAAAUAGGACAUUUGUGUCGCAUUGCCAUGAGUCCAUCAGGGAUGUUUGUUGGCAUUGAUUUCUUAUUCCUGAACCACUAGAAGGAAAUGCAUGCGUUGUCUGGGUUAUGUUCGGGGAAUCUGUAUGUGCAUGACAAAAAGAACCUUGAAGAGAUGGGGACUGCAACACCAGCAGUAUCUUUGCUGCCACUUUGCAGCAGCUGUAAAGCCUCCUUUGCUGCAGUCGUAUUCCCACAUGCAUGCUUGUGAUUCACUGAGUGUUGUUUCAAAUGAUGAAUGAGCCAUUAUUAUGCGUUGAUCACCACAAACAGAACAUUCAUGUCAAACAAUGUCAGCUCAAGCACACUGCUUUUCAGAGGGAACAGUUUGCACAUUCUCCCAUUAAGCGAAGUGCACACCAAGUUCAUAAACUGGGUAGAGUUUUUCUUUCAUUGUCCCAGCCUUGCUCCCACCCCAACCCACCUCACGCCGAAACAAACAAGCCCAUAUGGGAAACAGUUUUGACUGGGGAGAGUGUCUAGGAAUCUGGGCACUGCUACGAUAGACGAUGACUAUCAACUCUUGAGGUUCCUGAAAAUCGCUGUGCAGUGGCUAAGGAGACAGUUUUGUCUCUAACUCAGAAAUGUUGCCUUGACUCUGGUAGAGAUGACCUCUCCAUUAUUACCUCUAUCGCCAUGAAUGCAUUUCCAAAUCACUUUUGUGACAAUUAAUGCAAUGCUGCAUUGCACUGAAUGCACUGAAGGCUGCAUUCAGGAAAAGUGGAAAGACACCGGGACCGGAUGGAUUUACAGCAAGAUAUUAUAAAGAAAUUAAAUACACCCUACUUGUGCCAAUAAAAGAAGUUAUGAAUAAUAUAUUAAUAUAUAUAUAUAUAAUAUUAUAUACACUUCACCCCGGCUUAUGCAGUCCCUCCACUCUUCUAGCACAGCUGCCAUGAAGAGACUUGAGGGCCACUUGUAUUCUCAUUUGCAUUUAUUGGUUCAUUCACCUGAAUGAACCAAUAAAUGAAAAUGCAUGUAGAUAUAUAUAUGUAUGCAUGUUCAUGUUGGUUUCUCUUUUGCUGUUUAAUCACUGUUUAGUGCCUGUCAAGAUGAUACCUAACUGCCACUUUUUAUGUUGGGAAUCUGCCUAUUUGUAUCUUGCAAUGAAAGGGUGAACAAAAAAAUUCUAAAAGAGGUAAUACGAUCUGAAGCUGCCAUGCUGUAUUGCAGCAAUUCCCAGACUUUGGUCUUAUUAGUCACAGGUAGCGCAUGAAAAGAUUUGGCAGUGUUCUUCAAAGGGUGACUUGGUUAUAUGAUACCAUGUCUACUUCUUUUAAAUAGAAAAAAAAGGCAACUGAAAACAAAUAACCAGUUGAUUCAAACAACCACUUGCCUGUUGCGCCGUGACUUUGCAGUCACCUCGAGGAAAAAAUGUGGUUGAUCUGGGUCAUGAGAAGGGGUCCCACAGAUGUCAGGAUCGCGGAUUAACUUGAAUUCAACAAAUCUGAUUGUUCAGGCUUGCUAAUCCUGCCCAGGCUGCCAUUCCAAUGUGUCGCGGGGCCUUUUCUCAAGCCCAGUUAAGAGAGCGCAGCCCAAGGCUAUAACCCUCAACCCAUUAACUUAUAAGAAAGCAGAGCCAGGAUCAGACUGCCAGUCACCAAGGUGCAGAAUACCCUUGGAAGCUCCUCCUAAAGAAAUCAGAUUGCAUGGGUUUUACCGCAAAGGACACCGUCCCGCUGACUUUUUAAGAUCAGGUUCAGGUCAGAAAGGUUUGUCAAUAUAUUGGUCAGUAAAAUAUAGUAUGAAUUAUUAGAAAUCGCGCUCAUAGCAAAAAGAAAAAAGAGCUGGGAGGGAGGCAUUCCCUUUUUAGCAAUUGGGUCAGGAACUGUAAUCACCUGUACAUUGGAAUUAAAGUCCUAAUUCUGUUCUUAACUAGAGCAUUGCUGCUGCUAGAUGUGUUGUACAGGCAGAUGAGCCUUAGCACUCUCAGCAAUGCCGUACAGUGGCAUUCCUGCAUAUGAAUGCAUAUAGAUCUGCCAGCUUCAAAAGAGCAAUAUAGAUUUGACAUCUGAUAUGCAAAUGAAGUUGCAAUCCUGUCAUUUCCUCCGGUUCUGUCAUUACAGAGCAGCACGAUCAAAAAAACGAAGAAGAAGAAGCAGAAGGGGAGUUGGGGGAGGGAAAGGACUGUGCCCACUUCAAAGAGAAAUGUUAACAGUUCUGGUGAGCUAAUACUAUUGCUGAUAAGGAAGCGAACUUCAUUAUUCCAUCGUAGUUCCCAUUUCCAUAGCCUGUUUCUGUUUACUUUUAGGUAAACACAUUCUAUUCCCCCAUCACCACCGAUGUUUUCCCCCUUUCUUUAAAAAAAAAAAAGCCAACAGUUUUAUUUUUUUAGGGAUAUAUGUUUAUUGGAGAUAAGCUGUCUCUUUUUUUUUUGUCUUUUUCAAAAUGUCCAGAAUGCACUAAUUGUAUUGGGGGUGGGGGACAAUCCACUCUGCAUGAACAAUCAACGUGCAACAUUCCACACAAACCACUUUGUUGCUUAUUGCUCCUUUGAUGAUCCUUCUUUCAACUUUACGUCCCUCCCUCCUCUCUUUUUGGUGUGUGCAAUUGUCUCUAUUUUUAACAGCUACAGAUCUAGCCCUGGUAGACAAUACGCUAAGAAACGUUUCCUCCCUGCAUGCUUUAGACAAAUAAUACAAUCUCAAUCGAAAGCAAUGGAAGGAUCAUUCCUGCCUUGUGGGCAUUCUGUAUUUUAAUCUACCAAGAAGUUUGGGUUAGUGUUUUUUUCUUCUUCUUUCUUUCUUUCUUCUCCUUCUUCUUUUGCUUUCCAUAAAGUAAUUCCAAACUGUAAGCCACAGACUGACCUAACUACUUAUUAAAAAUGCUAAUAUGCUUUUGUGCUUUGAUGUCUGGUGAACAAUAAAAGGGAGAGCGCUACUCUGGGACACUCUAAUCCUUUAUUUGUCACUAAGUUAUGACACCCAGCAGAGCUGUGUGACAGUCCAAAUCAAUCAUUCCCUGCGCACUGCAGGCCUUCUCUGCCUCCUGCAGAGCCUAUGCAGUUUAAUUAGCUAUUUUUUUUCCACACUAGCAUAAUGUACAUCUGCAGCUUCAGCAAGAAAAAAAAAGAGAGAGAAGAACGGAGGAUAUUUCACCAGGAUGUAGCUCUUAAAAAAAAAAAAAGUUCAGUCUUUUCUGAGAGAGAAAGUCUCUAAGACGAAACAUCACAAUCCUUUGUGAUUUUAUUUUAUUUUUUACUUCAGAGGAGAUUGCAGUGGAGAUCUACUGGACUGAGUGCUCUACACUGUUAAAUGUACAUCUAAUUUAACGUUCUUUAAAACCCACACAAAGACCUUUUCAGCUAGAAUGCAGCAUUUUAAAAGCUUGCUCUUUCAUAGUGGUCAGUCGUUUCAUUUGUGUGUGUGCACGCACAUGCAUGUGAUUGCUUGAUCAUGUUCCUUCCAGGACUGCUUCUGUAUAUUUAAAGCAAAAAAUGUAUUCAAUGGGAUAUUAUUAUUUUUUUUAAGUUCCCUUUGGUGAUUAGCUAUCUCUGCCUCCUCUGCUGGAAUUAGCCUUUGCUAAAACCAUCAAAGUCAAGAGAAGAUUGGUGAUCUACACCAGACCAGGCAUCUGGUCCCCUCUACCUGUUAAUUUGAAUAUUCAUGGUGUGGCGCUGGGCCUGUGACAAAGGAACACCCCUUUAACAAAACACUGAAAUCAAACACCACAGGACCAGCGGUGGAGAAGAAUGUGUGUGUGGGACCUUCCAUGCUGCCAGCCUGAGACACCAAACAAUGGUUGGUCUUGGAUCAGAAGUUCUUUAACAAAUGAGAUCACAUCAUCUUUGGGGAGACAGGGAUCCUCCGGCAGUGCAAACAUGCCUUGGUUCUACCACAUUGCUCUGCAAGUCUACAAAGACUUUAGAGGCCACCUUCAAAGGUGCUUAGGCCCCAAGACUCAAGCCACUGAUUGUGGCCAACUUGCCCCUGUGAAGCUGUUUGAGACGUAAGGCGACUUACUCAGAGAGGAUGAAAUUUAAAUACCUUCAGAAUGAAAACCAAGAUUGACAUGUCCAUUGGGAAGUCCACACUAGUCUGAUGUAGCAGAAUUUCUCAUGUCUACUGUAUUUAGGAAGUUGUAGUUUUUAAGAUGUUGGCAUUGUAGCUGAAUUAAUUUUUGAGAGGGCACCAAAAUCCUGAAAAGGCUCAUCUCUUCAGUGGAUAAUAUGAAAUAUAGUGGUACCUCAGGUUACAUACGCUUCAGGUUACAUACGCUUCAGGUUACAGACUCCGCUAACCCAGAAAUAUUACCUCGGUUUAAGAACUUUGCUUCAGGAUGAGAACAGAAAUUGUGCAGUGGCGGUGCAGCGGCAGCAGGAGGCCCCAUUAGCUAAAGUGGUGCUUCAGGUUAAGAACAGUUUCAGUUUAAGAACAGACCUCCAGAAAGAAUUAAGUUUUUAACCCGAGGUACCACUGUAACAUGCUAAAUUCACAUAUUGGAGCUAAAAGUAAAAGGUAAAGGACCCCUGGACGGUUAAGUACAAUCAAAGGUGACUAUGGGAUUGUGGCGCUCAUCUCGCUUUUAGGCCAAGGGAGCUGGCGUUUGUCCACAGACAGCUUUCUGGGUCAUGUGGCCAGCAGGACUAAACCGCUACUGGCGCAACGGAACACCGUGACAGAAACCAGAGCGCAUGGAAAAACUGUUUACCUUCCCGCCACAGCGGUACCUAUUUAUCUACUCGCACUGGUAUGCUUUGGAACUGCUAGGUUGGCAGAAGCUGGGACAGAGCAAUGGGAGCUCACUCUGUCACGGUAUCAUCAGGUGUAGACAACUGAGAAUUUGGUGAUGUUUCCCAGUAGAGAUGCAUAUUAGUUCCGAGACAGUCUCUCACGAGCAAAGGAUCUGCUUUUUGUCCAGAUUCAUUUUCCUUUCUUAUUGUUAAUACUUUUAGCUUUGUCCAAUUAGGAACUAGGAGUGGCCGACCUAGUUCCAGGACAAAGUUCUUGCCUUCUUACACCGGGUAUCAUUUCUGGCAGUAGAAUAAUAAAAGUAGAACGCGGAGUUUUACUUCAAACAUGACAUCACAGACAGUUGUCUUUCUUUGAAAACAUGCAUAUGGAUUGACUUCCACAAUCAUUUUUUAACAUAAUGGUUACCUGGUGAAAUUAAUAUGAGUUGAUGCUGAGGGAGACGAAGAACAGUCCCAUUGUGAAGUCUCUCAAUGGCUGCCACGUUCCUCACUCAGCACCCCCUGGAUCAAUCCAUGUUUCAAAUAGGUAGUAAGAGACAGUGGGUGGAACUCAACAUGGUGCUAAGUGUAUGGAGAGAGGUGCGCUUGUGCAACAAGACCUCUCUCCCGUCUCCCCCCUGCAUGAGGGGAGGGGCGGAAAGUCCCAUUGCAUGAGAGGACCUCAUUCCAUUCAUGCAUACCUGUUAUCUUUGCUGUUUUGUAUACUUUUUACUUUAUUUCCUUCUUACGUCCACUUAUCCUCUUUAUACGCAUUUGUAUACUUAUUUUCUGUAACACAAUGCCACAAUAUUUUUAUUUAGAUCAUAAUGACAAUGUAAAUGUGGCAUUAUACACCCCUGAGACAACACAGGAUAAAGAGUUUGCUGUCUCUGCUCUGUUGGAGAAGCCAUAGUAUGGUGGGGACACUGUUUCACAUGUGGUGAGGCUGCCCCAGGGUUCAAAGCUUUGCAUUGGAAAUCUAUGAAGCAAUUUUGGGCAUUACUAACACUAUUUUCCUCCCUGAGGUAGCGUUAGCACUGCUUGUUAUAUCAAGAAAUGUACACAUACAGUAGAACCUCGGUUCGUGAACAUCUCUGUUGACUAACGUUUUGGAACUCAAAUGCCAAAACCCCCGAAGUAAAUGCUUCCAUUUUCAAACGCGCCUCCAAAGUCAAACGGCUUCCGCUGCAUGUUUUUAAUUUUUUUCAAUUGAAUUUGCUGACAACCCUUUGAGCCUCGGUAUUCAAACAUUUUGGAAGUCGAGCAGUCUUCCGGAAUGGAUUACGUUCAAAAACCGAGGUUCCACUAUGUAAGGAGGAUGUCCAUUUUCUGCCAGUUGUGGCCAGGUUGGGAGUGGCCAAGACUGAGAAACAGAAUCUCACUUCUCCAUAUAAGAGUGGGUCACUGUGACAUGAAUAAUUCUGCUAUUGAAGAGAUUGAGCUCUCAUAGCAGGCCGAUGGGGGAACCUUGUGGGGUUCUUGUACCCAUUCUUACAAGCUGGUAUAUGUGUUCCAGAAGAAGAAGAAGAGUUUGGAUUUGAUAUCCCGUUAUAUCACUACCUGAAGGAGUCUCAAAGCGGCUAACAAUCUCCUUUCCCUUCCUCCCUCACAACAAACACUCUGUGAGGUGAGUGAGGCUGAGACUUCAGAGAAGUGUGACUAGCCCAAGGUCCCCCAGCAGCUGCAUGUGGAGGAGCGGGGAAUCGAACCCGGUUCACCAGAUUACGAGUCUACCACUCUUAACCACUACACCACACUGGCUCUUUUGCAAAGACUUGUGGAAAUGAUGGGGAGAAUGCGAUACCAGUGAGAAUCUGCAAGUGUCAAACCUGAUCCAUCUGCAAAUUGUACUGUCAUGGAAAUGUUGUGUGCUUAUCGUUGCAUAUGUUGCGUAGUCAAAAGAAACCAGCCACUCAAAAAGUUGGCUUCAGACAAGCCUCUGAGGGCUUUCCACGGAUGAGGUUCAGCAGUGACACCAAAGGCCCUUACUUAGGGUAAGAAGUGCUGCUACAAGGAGUAAAGUAGAACAAUGCCUCCCCUCUAAACAAAAAAACCUCAUUCCCCUUUGACUGCAACUGGUAGAACAGCAUAAAUGGUGCAAGUGAAUGAUUGCAACUGGAAUUCUGGACCGUCCAGCUAUGACAUGAAGCAGGAUGAAGCAAACUGCUUCAGGCAACACCAUAGUGGGAAGACAUUUCAAAGCAGGAACUGGUAUUGGGGUUGGUGCAGAUUGACUUUCUUAUAGUGUUGGCCCCAGCAAGCAGGGGUGUGUCUUCCUCCAUGCAGCAACAUGGCUGGUACUGUUGUCACUGCAGCUCCCCAAACAAGCAACUGCUUUAUCUCAUAUAUGCAAGCUGGUAGGGACACAAUGCAACAAAGCUUGUUCUUCCUUCACCUGUUUUCCCUUUGCUUCCUCUUGCUUAUCAAAUACGUUUCUGGAGCCACUAGUUUGUUUAUUUACUCAACAAAUUUUUCACCUCAUUCUUCAGCCUAAAAAGACCCCCAGAGAGGCUUUCAGUGUUCAAUCAUAAGAAGACCUGCUGCUCUCAACGUUAAAAGACAUGAUGCAAAAGAAAAGAGGGUUGAGAGGGGAAGGAGAGAAAGCAAACAAGCACCAACAAAGUCAUUCUAAGUGUUCCUUCUAGUAGGGUAGGGAAAAGCAAGUUCUCAGAAGUCGCUUCACUUAGGUUGGAUGGAUGAGGACAGUUCUCUCUCCUCCUUGCCACAGUGUUCUUCCUGGGAGGCAAGGAAAGCAGCACCCCAUUGGUUCUUGGUUCCCUAGCCAAUGGCAGAGGUCCUAGUCUGCCCUAGACUAAGGUUACCAGACGUCCCCUUUUCCCAGGGACAGUCCCCGGAUUUUUACUUUUACCUAUUCCAUAAUAAUAAUAAUUUUAUUAUUUAUACCCCACCCAACUGACUGGGGUGUCUCAGUCACUCUAGGCAGACUCCAACAUUUAUAAAAACAUAAUUAAACAUCACACAUUAAAAACACUUCCCGAUAUAGGGCUUGUAUAGUUACUCCUUGGCUCUGGGGUCACAUAACUCCAGUGCUUUUUUUCUGGCGGUACGCAGAACCCGAAAUGUUUUGUGAAUAUAAGAUUGACCUCACUGAGGGGCAGUAUUUCAAUAUGAGUAGUAAAAUGAGAGUACCCCCCCUUUUUUUUAGAAAAAAAGCAUUGCAUAACUCCAUACCCUCCAACAUUUCUCUGAUGAAAAUAGGGACAUCCUAAGGGAAAGCGGGAUGUUCCAGGAUCAAAUCAGAAACUGGGACGGCUUCUGUAAAUCCAGGACUGUCCCUGGAAAAUAGGGACACUUGGAGGAUCUGCAUUUGUUGUUAUUCUGAAGAAGAAGAAGAGGAAGAGGAAGAGGAAGAGGAAGAAGAAGAAGAAGAAGAAGAAGAAGAAGAAGAAGAAGAAGAAGGUGAUAAAACCACCAGAUCGUAUCUCACUUGUCCCCCACCUCCCAGGCCCCCAGUGGCUGCAGAGGGAGAAAUACUGAUGAAAUGGCGGCUCUGCAACUUGGACGAUGCAAUUAACUCCUGGUGCUUGCUUCGCGUUAUCAAGUGCUGACAGAGCCACAAGCAGAAUCCGUGCCCCAUCCAGAUACAGAACUGGAAGUUUUAUGUGUUUUGCCAACAAGGAUUAAAGAGCAAAGGCAACAAGACUUGUCAUGCUAAUAAUAAGCACUUGAGGGAAACCGUUGAUGUGUCUGCAAAGAGCAAAGUCAGAGAGAAGGGUGUGUGGAAGGGGGAGGGGGUUGGAGAGAGGAAACUGGCUCAAAAACAAUCGAGAAUUUACUUUUCAUUCUCCUCCCAGACACUAUCCAAAACACACUCUGUGCCUGCUUUUAUAAAAACAGAUGCAGAGAAAGGAAACAUGAAAUGCCUUCUCGGUCAGGGGGGGUGGGGGUGGGAUGGCAAGGAAAUAUAUUGAAAAAUAUGCAGAUAGCCGCAGCUCUAUUCAUGUUUCUUAAAAAAAAAAAAAUUAAACGGAGGUGGAUUAAACAAACAAGCAUGAAUCUUUGCACCAGAAUCCUUGUUGCAAAGCCAGGCGCUGCUGGGGCUUUUGGCUUCUUACACUGUUUCUAUUGUGAAGGUGGGAGCCCUGCAGAAUGGCAUCACCGCCGUCCAAAUUGGGCACCAUUGCUAAAAGCAGGUUGCCUCUCGAAGCCAAGAGAAACCAAACACUUUGAUUGAAAAAAUAUUUCUGUGUGCAGAGGCUCUGGAUCCAAUAACCCCAGAGGCCAAUUCGUAGGUGUUUUUAGUGAAGCGGUAAAAUAAUCCCCGACUUAGAGCUGCUCUGUUCAGUACUCCACAUACACACACACACACACACACACACACACCCUCUCUCACACACACAUACACACAACAGUUUGUCCUUCUUGUCACCAGCAUAAUGAAGUACUGCCGCCUAGAGCAGAAAUGCAAGGCAAUCAAAAGGUAAACGUAAAGGGACCCCUGAUAGUUAAGUCCAGUUGUGAACGACUCUGGGGUUGUGACGCUCAUCUCGCUUUACAUGCCGAGGGAGCCGGCGUUUGUCCGCAGACAGUUUUCUGGGUCAUGUGUCCAGCAUGACUAAGCCGCUUCUGGCGAAACCAGAGCAGCGCACGGAAAUGCCGUUUACCUUCCCGUCGGAGCAGUAUCUAUUUAAGUCCAGUCGUGAACGACUCUGGGGUUGUGGUGCUCAUCUCGCUUUACAGGCCGAGGGAGCCGGCGUUUGUCCGCAGACAGUUUUCUGGGUCAUGUGGCCAGCAUGACUAAGCGCUUCUGGCGAAACCAGAGCAGCGCACGGAAAUGCCGUUUACCUUCCUGUCGGAGCAGUACCUAUUUAAGUCCAGUCGUGAACGACUCUGGGGUUGUGGUGCUCAUCUCGCUUUACAGGCCGAGGGAGCCGGCGUUUGUCCGCAGACAGUUUUUCUGGGUCAUGACUAAGCCGCUUCUGGUAAAACGGAACACUGACACCAGAGCAGCACACAGAAACGCCGUUUACCUUCCUGCUGAAGUGGUACCUAUUUAUCUACUUGCACUUUGACGUGCUUUCGAACUGCUAGGUUGGCAGGAGCUGGGACCGAGCAACAGGAGCUCACCCCGUUGCGGGGAUUCGAACUGCCAACCUUUUGAUUGGCAAGCCCAAGGCUCAGUGGUUUAGACCACAGCGCCAUCCGCGUCCCUGCAAGGCAAUCAAACAGGUUUUAAUUUGUUCCCAGGUCGACAGAGAAGUAUCACUGUCCCAACAAUAGAUUCACAAACUCCCCCUUUAGCACAGCUCAGAAUCAAAUCAAUUAUUCCACCCCCAAUUUGUGACCCAGGCAUAUCAUUCAAGCAACAGCUAUUAGACAGAGAGAGAAAAACCAAGCAGAACUUUUAUUUUGCUAUGAUGAUAGCUCCUUUUUCAUUGCCUAAUGCAAGGUUUCCCAAAUGUGGGUCUCCCACUGUUUUCGAACUACAAUUCCCAUCAUCCCUGACCGCUGUACCUGCUAGCUAAGGAUGAUGGCAGUUGUAGUCCAAAAACAGCUGGAGACCCAAGUUUGGGAAACACUGAAUGAGAUGCUGCAAAAAGUGUGAUCCAUGGACGUGCUCGUGUGGGCCACACCAAAGAGGUAGAAUGGCAGUGGAGGAGUCUGAAGUGGAGAAAUGGCUAUUGGUAAGUGACUGUUGGCCCGUUCCCCCACUCCAGCUUUCCCCUCUGAAAAGACCUCCCCCUAUGUGUUAGAUAGAUAGACAGAUAGAUAGAUAUAGAUAGAUGAUGAUAGAUAGAUGAUAGAUAGAUAGAUGAUAGAUAGAUAGAUAGAUAGAUAGAUAGAUAGAUAGAUAGAUAGAUAGAUGAUAGAUAUAGAUAGAUGAUAGAGAUAGAUAGAUGAUAGAUGAUAGAUGAUAGAUAGAUAGAUAGAUAGAUGAUAGAUAGAUAGAUAGAUAGAUAGAUAGAUAGAUAGAUAGAUAGAUAUAGAUAUAGAAGAUAGAUAGAUAGAUGAUAGAUAGAUAGAUAGAUAGAUAGAUAGAUAGAUAGAUAGAUAGAUGAUAGAUAGAUGAUAGAUAUAGAUAGAUGAUAGAGAUAGAUAAAUGAUAGAUAGAUGAUAGAUUAGAUAGAUAGAUAGAUAGAUAGAUAGAUAGAUAGAUGAUAGAUAGAUGAUAGAUAGAUAGAUAGAUAGAUAGAUAGAUAUAGAUAGAUAGAUAUAGAUAUAGAUAUAGAUAGAUGAUAGAUAGAUGAUAGAUAGAUUUUCUAUAAGUAACAAGAGUACAUUCAGAGUCUCUAUUUUCAAAUUACAGUCUUUCAUGCAAGUCAAUAGCAGUCAAUUUGAGACGUUUUUCUUGUAAGCAAUGUGAGGUUGAGGCAGUGGCAUACCAUGCAUUGCCAGUGCCCAGGGCCACGGGAAUAUGGGUGGGUGGGAGGGAAACGGACAGAGUAUGCAUGUGCAUCCAACUUAUUAAGGGCAUCUGCAUCACCCAGGAGAUUGCAGCCACAGAGCUAAAAGAAGAAUUGUUCCAUCGUCUGGAGAAGUCACUUCCUGGUUUACAUGGAGAAGCUGUUUUCAAUGGAGCCCAGUGGCAGAAGCACACAGCUAUAUUGAGGCAGCACCAAGUCUAGAAAGGAAGGUUAAGACUAAGAUAUAUGAAGGCAAAUGCCAACACCUUUUCCCCUAGUUAAAUUCCACACCAGGCAAUAAUUCCUAAUUCUGAUUAUAAUAAUUCUGAUGUGAUCAUUUACCCCAUGGGUAGGCAAACUAAGCCAUGGUUUUCCCAGUAGUGAUGUAUGGAAGUGAGAGCUGGACCAUCAAGAAGGCUGAUCGCCAAAGAAUUGAUGCUUUUGAAUUAUGGUGUUGGAGGAGACUCUUGAGAGUCCCAUGGACUGCAAGAAGAUCAAACGUAUCCAUUCUUAAGGAAAUCAGCCCUGGGUGCUCACUGGAAGGACAGAUCGUGAAGCUGAGGCUCCAAUACUUUGGCCACCUCAUAAGAAGAGAAGACUCCCUGGAAAAGACCCUGAUGUUGGGAAGGAUGGAGGGCACAAGGAGAAGGGGACGACAGAGGACGAGAUGGCUGGACAGUGUUCUCGAAGCUACAAACAUGAGCCUGACCAAACUGCGGGAGGCAGUGGAAGACAGGAGUGCCUGGCGUGCUCUGGUCCAUGGGGUCACGAAGAGUCGGACACAACUAAACGACUAAACAACAACAGGCAAACUAAGGCCCGGGGGCCGGAUCCGGCCCAAUCGCCUUCUAAAUAUGGCUUGUGGAUGGUCCGGGAAUCAGCGUGUUUUUACAGGAGUAGAAUGUUUCCUUUUAUUUAAAAUGCAUCUCUGGGUUAUUUGUGGGCCUGCCUGGUGUUUUUAACAUGAGUAGAAUGUGUGCUUUUAUUUAAAAUGCAUCUGUGGCAUAUUUGUGAGGCAAAGGAAUCUGUUCAUUAUUUUUUUCAAAAUAUAGUCCGGCCCCCCACAAGGUCUGAGGGACAGUGGUCUGGCCAUCUGCUGAAAAAGUUUGCUGACCCCUGAUUACCCUAACCAAGAUCUUGGGGUGUACAGUAAUUACUCCCCUGCCACACACUUUUCAUUGUGGAAGGUCCACAGAAGACAACCUACAUAGUUCUUCUAGGACAAGGAUGGUUUACCUGUCGCCCUCCCAAUGUUGAACUCCAACUCCCAUCAAUUCCAGCCAUGUGGUCAAAAGUCAGGGACAAUGGGAAUUGUGGUCCAGCGACAUCUGAAAGGCUAAAUGUUGGUCAGCCCUGUUCUAAGUGUAAUUUGUACAGUAAUAAACAAUUCCCCCAGUUUUCAGCCACUUACUAUUUACAGUUAUCUAUUAAUUUCACCCAACAUAGUUUACAAAGUGGUUCCCCCUUGAAAAGGAACAGAAUUAGGUUCUUUGCUGUAGGAGGUAGCACCUGGCAAUCUAGAGUUAAUUGAACUUCUGGAACAGAAGGAGAUGCUAAGAGAGGAAUAGGACUCUUUCUUUGGAUCAGGGAUGGGGAACAUGUGCCCCACACUGAUGUUUCCAUACUGCAAGUCCCAUAAUGUCAGACUAUUGAUCGAGCUUGCUAGGUCUGAUGGCCAAUGGAGUCCAAUAGAAUCUGGAGUGCCAAAAAUUCCCCAUAUUGCAAAAUGAAUAUAAGAGCAGCACAAAGGCAGGACAGAUGAUCACAUUUUCUGCUGAAGAUUUUGCAGAAGCAAGACCCCUGUGAGUUUGAUUGACAAAAGGCUGGUAUAUUUUCUGCCUUUGUGCAGCUGGCGCUUCCAGCAGACCUUAUAACUGACCUUCAACCUGAGAUCCAAACAAAGGGCCGUCCUCCUGUCCUUUUUGUGACUGAAGCCUUUGAAAGUCUCUAACUUCCUGGCACUUGAAAGACUUUCCAACAGGGAAGGUAGGGAUGGAGCUUCUGCAAAGACUUCUAUCAAUGGGGAGGCCCCAUCUUCAAAGCUUUUGUUCUACAGGGUGCUGGCAUCCCUUCUGAGAGUUGCUAGUGCUGGAGGGGAUUCCUUCUUGAAAAUCCUUCAGAUCACAGAGGGGGGAGUCCCGCUUUGAAGAUUCUCACCAGAGUGGGGCCAAACCUCCUAUUUUGCAUUGCCUUUCAAAAGUAUGGCGUGGGGGUGGGAAGAGAAGAAGGGAGAGGACUGGGUGGAUUCGCUCUUUGCAAGGUAUCUGGUUGUGCCAACCUGCACUCAAAGCAACAACAAGGCAACGAGUUCCUUGCCGAAGUCCCAUGCCGCAAGUGGUGCAUAUGUUCAAUUAACAGAGUUAUGCCACCAGCAAAUUAGAUAGGCGUGUUAAGGAUGAACCGAGGUCAAGCGUGUUUCAAAUGGUAUGUUUGCUCCAUCAAGCCAUGGCAUGCUGCAGCGAGUGAGAAUGCUUCCAGCAAGGAGUCUGCAUUUUUCAAAUGAAGUAAUAAACAGCUCUUGUUAUUAGUGGGAUAAUAUUAGGUAUUCCUUUCCCCCUGCAACACACACCAGGCUUUUGAGCUGCUUUAGGUGGUGGUGGUGACACAUCAUUAGGGCAUUGUAGAUGAGAAGUGAAUCAGCGUCCUUGCUUUCUUUUUCUCCACUUCAAACAUGCAUUAGCUGCGUGGCAUGGUGGUAAAACGCACCAGCGGCUGGCCUAUGCCUUCAAGAAGCAUCAUAUGGCUUCCUCUGCCUCUUCAGCUUGAAGUGAGGAGAACUGCAAAGCCGAGCUGGCAAAAGUCUUCCCUGCUCAAAGAAAUCUAGGAUACCAGUCAGAAGGAGGGCUCAGGAGUACAGCUCGUUCCUUGUUCGGUUUCUGGCUUUUGCAAACUCUCAGGGAUCAGGACUAGGAGGGAAUCUGUGCCUGAGACCUUGGAGAGCUAUUGCCACACCAGUCAAGAGAUGAGAGGCAGCUUUGUAUGAAAACUAAUCUCAUUCCCUCCCUGAUGUGCUCCCUUUUGACACGGGCAAACAAAUCACAAAACUGCUGUCACCCACCUGGCAGAGUCUGGGAAUAACUAUUCUGUGGUUGAAUGUACCACUCAAGAUAGGUGAGUUCUGCUGUGCUUCCUGGACCUUCUGUGACCUCAAGGACAAUUCCUCACGGGAUGCACUGAAAGGACUGCGGUGUCUAUGUGGACAAUCCACAGCAGAAACCUUGGGAACAUGUAGCGUUAUAGGGUAGUUACAGGUAUAGACAAAUCUGUAAUGGACUGGUUUGUUUUGGAGGAACAAAAGGAAUCGGGAAGGCAAAGAUAUAUCGGUCUUUUUGCUGACAAAACAGACCUAUUAUAGGAUCAUAUUUGCUCUAGCUAGUUUUCUAGUUGCAGUUUUGCCUGUUAAAAACAAAUGGGUGGAUUCCAUACGAUGGGCUGCCAGCAUGAUUUACAACUGGAGGAGGGAACCUCAGCCAGCUAAGACCCUUCAGUCCUCUCUAUGCAGCCCCUGCUCAGCACACCCCUUCUCCUUGGGCCACACCCCUCACCAGGCCUACUUUCCACCCUUUGGGGUGUUUGUGAUUGGCUGGAAUGUGUCCCUGUACUCCCACAAUGCCUCUUGCUUGUCUGGGUGGAGACUAGUGUGCGAGUGCGAGUAGAAACUAGCCUCCUGUACGAAGGUAAAAUUUGCACUCAUUGCUCCAAACACACCACUGCCAUGUGAUGCGGCCCCUGCAAGAUUGUCUGAAAGGGAAUGUGGCCUUCAGGCUGGAAUAGGGCUCCCCUUUUCUGAUUUGGAACGAUUAAAGAGGAUUAAAAAAUGCCAGAUAGUGGGGGGGCCAAUAGUGUAGGAUCUGUUCUGUUGCUGAAGCAUUGAAUUACUGUAUUUUUCGCUCUAUAAGAUGCACCCGGCCAUAAGACACACUUAGUUUUUAGAGGAGGAAAACAAGAAAAAAAUAUUCUGAAUCAAAUGUUGUUGAAGAGACUUUGCGCGGCUAUCCCCGAAGCCAGAACAGCAAGAGGGAUUGCUGCGUGCACACAUUUCCCCUUAUUUUUUAGGAGGGAAAAGGUGUGUCUUAUAGAGCGAAAAAUACGGUAAAUUUUUAAAGGGGAGAGGGGAAGAUCCCGUUUUAGUCGUUUUUGAAUUGAGCAUUAUAGUAUUUUAUCACUGUAAAAUAUAUUGGGUUUUGCCAUGCGGUUUUUGCUUCAUUUUUAAUUAGAAACAUUUAUAGCUUGCUCGUCGUUUAAAAAACAAAUCCCAGAGCAAGUUAAAAUUUACAGCACCAGCUCAAUAAUACAACCAGUAUUACUUAAAAACUCAACUCUGAUAUGGCAUGAACCAGAUCAGCACAUCUGUGGACAUAUAUCCAUCACCCCUACCCAAAUUGCCAUUAGCCUGAAACCUGGGUGAUUAGAUACGGUGCCAAAAAGCCAUCAGCACCAGCCAGAUCUGUAAGGGGUGGGCACUCCAUUGUUAGGGUGUCAGGUCUGUGAAUGCCGUGAGCGGCCUCAUAAUGCACACUUGGCAGCUACAGCAUUAUUAAGGUGAUGUUCCCAGCCGCUCCUGAUAUCCAGGCAGGUGUAUAUAGGAGCAAUCCAGGUCUUAACCCUGGAUAUUUAUCUUAAUAGGCUGAGUUUUAAUUAUACCCUGAACUGGGUAUAAUUAUUGUAUUACUGAAUGACUGGCAAUGGACUUGGACCAAGCGCUAAGGAUUCGGAAGGUUCUUGCAUAGUUCACAGUUCAAACGUAAGUGCAUCACUUGAAAGUCCAAAAGAAAAAGUUCAGGAAUGAGCAACGCUACAGUUGGUUUAAAUUUUCCCCAAGAGGGUAUGGGGUGUGUAUGUGUGUGAUUAUGUGAGAUGAAAAGCUAUCUUAAUCAUGCAAACAGGCUUCUGAGUUUUGCAUAUUCAAUGCACAUCGGCCUCUAUGAGUUAAUUUACACGUUCUGGAGAAAAGCCCAUAUGGUUCAGGCCACAAAAUGCAAUGCAGGACUGAAGGCUCUCGCCAAAACUAAGGUUAAAGUCCAGGAAUAGAUUUCACGGUGGGGAGAAGUGUUCCAGGUUAGCCUUCUCUUGAGUGACUUUUUCUGUGUUCAUGGAGGUGUUCUGAAUUGUGUGUUCAAAUAGGCAGGGCUUACAUUCUGAAAUGGUGUUAUACGGUGCCCUGUUCCUGCCUAGGUCAUAGCUCCUCCCUGAGGACAGCAAAAUUUUGGAGGGCCACUAAAAUUUAGAGUAGGCUCAGCAAUAGUGUUCCUUCUUUCCACCUCAUGUUGGACCUUGUGUUCCUGGGUGUUUUUGUUUUAAUUGUUUUAAUUGAAGGAUUUUCAUAGACAACAGGGGAACAUACAACUUCUCCGUUCUAAGUUCAUUGAGUCCUUUCUGCAGAUCAGCUACAUUCGGUGUGCGAUGCUGCUUUCGUCGACAUUGUGAGGUAGGGUGGGGGAAGUAAAUUAGGGAGCAGGGGAAGGAAAAAGGGCGAGAUAAUGAUUUUCCAUCCUUUUGUUUAGUGUAUGUGUAGAGUUUUGAUGUCAGCAUCAGGAGGAUAGGUUCUUUAGUUAUCUGUUUGUUUGUUUGUUUGUUUGUUUGUGUGGUGUUGUGGUGUGUGAAGUUGGGGAGCCCGGAGCAUGGUUGGUUGCAUUCAGUUGUUGUUGUUGUUGUUGUUAAUAAUAAUAAUAAUAAUAAUAAUAUAUUAUUAUUAUUAUUUAUACCCCACUUAUCUGGCUGGGUUUCCCCAGCCACUCUGGGUGACUUCCAGCAAAAUAUUAAAAUACAACAAUUCAUUAAAUAUUAAAAGCUUCCCUAAACAGGGAUGCCUUCUGAUUUCUUCUAAAAGUCAGAUAGCUAUUUCUUUGACAUUUGGUGGGAGGGCGUUCCACAAGGUGGGCGCCACUACCGAGAAGGCCCUCUGCCUGGUUCCCUGUAACUUCACUUCUUGCAGUGAGGGAACCACCAGAAGGCCCUCGGAGCUGGACCUCAGCGUCUGGGCUGGACGAUGGGGGUGGAGACGCUCCUUCAGGUAUACUGGGCCGAGGCUGUUUGAGGCUUUAAAGGUCAGCACCAAUACUUUGAAUUGUGCCCGGAAACAUACUGGGAGCCAAUGUAGGUAUAUUGAAUUUAUAUACUGCCCUAUACCCGGAGGUCUCAGGGCAGUUCACAGAAAAGAUCACAAUAUAUAAAAUCAAAAUAACACACACACCCCAAAAGAGUCACAUUUUAAAAGGGAUGUCAAUCAGGUAUGGGAUGUCAAUCAGGUCAACCAAAGGCCUGGUUAAAAAGGAACGUUUUUGCUUGGCAAAUUGCUCUUAAAAGAGAAAUGAGGUUAAAGUUCACAGGUCGCUGAAGUCUACCCUUGCAUGCUACAGUUCCAGAAGUUUGGCUGUAGACAGGCAUAUCCACACUGCUUUGCUGCCUGCAUUGCACAGCUUUAGGGUGUUGUACAGGAUAAGCCUAUCAGCCGGAAAAUCCCCCAGAGCCACCUGGAAACCUGUUGGGUCCAUCAGCCUCCAAGAGUGGACCAUCCCAAUAGGUUCCCCCGCCUCUGCAGAGGGGAAAGGGUCCUGAAAAUUUAGAUCUCAACAGGAAACGAUCUGACCAUGACAUGGGACUGUUGUCAAUAUCCCCCACUUUCAGAUCACCCUCUUCCUGCCCAGUUGAGAAAACAAGGUCCAGAGUGUGGCCUGCUACACGAGAGCAAGUGUGGUGUAGUGGUUAAGAGUGGUAGACUCGUAAUCUGGUGAACUGGGUUCGCGUCUCCGCUCUUCCACAUGCAGCUGCUGGGUGACCUUGGGCUAGUCACACUUCUUUGAAGUCUCUCAGCCCCACUCACCUCAUAGAGUGUUUGUUGUGGGGGAGGAAGGGAAAGGAGAAUUUUAACCGCUUUGAGACUCCUUCGGGUAGUGAUAAAGCGGGAUAUCAAAUCCAAACUCUUCUUCAUCUUCUUCAGUGGGCUGGUGACAUCUUAGGACAGCCUCAUGGUCAUCAUAAGAUCCCUUAUUUCAUCAGUGGAAGUUCUACCCAUGGCACAGCAAAGUGUGGUGUCUCCAAAAUGGGCAUUUUCUACCAUUGCCCCUGCACUGUGGAAAGCCCUUCCCUCUGUCAUAUUUGAAGCAUUGUCUAUUUUAGUUGCUUCUGAUGUCUUGUGAAGACAUAACUUUCUGCCCAGAUUUUCCCUGACCCAUAAGAUCACACCAUUGUUUCUGAAUUCCUCUUUUUAUCUGUUCCUCUUUCCAUCUGUUUUUAUAAUGUUAUUUUACUUUCAUUUGUGUGUGUGGUUUUAUUGUCUUGGUCUUGUUUUUUGUAUACUGUUUAGGGGUUUAAAAAAAUAUCAAGCUUUUCAGAAAUCUUUUUGAAUAAAAGUUCAAUGGGACUUACUCUCAGGUGGGUGCACAUAGGUUUGCUGCCUUAGUGAAGUUGGUACCGCAAGAUGGGACAAAGGCCACUGGCUUACAGUACAAUAUUUUGCAUAUUUAUUCAGAAGGAAAUCCCACUGUGUUCAAUGUGCCUUGCUUCCAAGUAAGUGUACAGAGGAGGGCAGCCUCAGAUGGCUUUUUAAAAAAAAGGAUUAGUCAAACUCAUGUAAAAUAGCUUCCAAGAAAGCACACUGCUAUAUGUAAGAUGUAGGAUUGGCACAAAGGAUGGUGACUGGAAUACUUUAUUUUUUACACACCUAAGCAAACAUUACAUACCCUCCAACAACAUUUCUCCAAAGAAAAUAGGGACAUCCUAUUAUACACGAGAAGGAGACCAUUAGAAACUUCACAUUGCUGCCUCAGGGCCUGGUCUCUAAAGCCUCUGUGUACUGGAACAUACAGUUGUACCUUGGUUCUCAAACAGAAUUUGUUUCAGGACUCCUGGAAACAUUCAAAAACCAAGGCGUGGCUUCUGAUUAUCGCAAGCUGCAGAAGCUGUGCCGGAUGUUCGGCUUCCAAAAAUUGUUUGAAAACCGGAACACUCACUUCCAGGUUUCGAUCGUUCGGGAGCCGAUUUGUUUGGGAACCAAGGUGUCCUCCGAGGUAUGACUAUACAGUGGUACUGAAGGACCCUUCAGUACCUCGGGUUAAGUAUUUAAUUAGUUCUGGAGGUCUGUUCUUAACCUGAAACUGUUCUUAACCUGAAGCACUACUUUAGCUAAUGGGGCCUCCUGCUGCCGCUGCGCUGCCACUGCACAAUUUCUGUUCUCAUCCUGAAGCAAAGUUCUUAACCCGAGGUACUAUUUCUGGGUUAGUGGAGUCUGUAACCUGAAGCAUAUGUAACAUGAAGUGUAUGUAACCCGAGGUACCACUGUACAUGAAACAAGGACUGAACUGAAAUACUACAGUUUACUCCAGGAGAUGCAGUGGGGAAAGGCUUCCCUUUGUGUGUGAUUCUUGGAGACACCUGGUUGGCCACUGUGGGAAACAGGACUGGAGCGACCAUUGGUCUGAUGUGGCAGAGCUCUUCUUAUGUUUGUUCUUAUGACCCUGACCUUAAAAGACAAUGGCAAAACAAGCUGCCCUUUUGUUGGAGGCCUGGCUGCUGGGUAUUAUCCAUACGGCACAAGUCAUCAUGCCUUUUCAGCUGCCUCCUGGUCACGCACCUGCUCCUCAAAGCCCCACAGCACAGGAGUCCUCUGUGUGUGUGUGUGUGUGUGUGUGUGCGCGCUCCACAGCCAAAGUGAAAACACAAAGCCUGAGAGAAAGUGCAGGUCUGUUGUUCCUUUGUUCAAACACCGGUCAUUUGUUGACUCAGGUGGCCAUUGCGGCGGACGGCAUUAGGACGAGGCAGGCAUUGUCAGUCCGAACAAGUGUCCCUCCAAAUAACCGCUGCUCUGGGUUUUUGAUACCUGGAGUGAGGAUGCACAUGCCAGGGAAGAAUGUAUCAAAAACAUGCCGCUGACUCAACAUCAGAGGGAACCUCAAAGGGAGAAUGAACUAGAACAAAGAACAAAAACAUUACAGAAGUGCCACACUGGAGGAGGAAAAAGCAGGAGGGGGGGAAACACAAAAAAACACACCACCCCUCUGUACUAACAACAGGAACAAGGUCAGCCAUAAAAACCAGAAGAAAAGAGGGAAGUCUCCAGAAAGCAUAACAAACGAACCACACAAAACAUGCCAGCCAUAUUCCUAUUGAUCCCCUCUCCUCACACAAUAUAAGCUCCCAUUACAAGGUUUGGUUUUGGUUUUGGAGAAAGAAAACGCGAAGGGGACGAGUUCUAAGAAGGGAGCUUAGGGACAGUGUGGUCGUGGGUGCCAUGGGCAAAAGAUUCCUGCCUUGCAGGGGGUUGGGCAAGACGGUCCCUUCAAACUCCACAAUUCUAUGGGAUGGCAUCAGAAGAAAUAAAAACCAAAAAGAAGAGAACAGACAUGCAAGACGGGGAGCUCAAUGAGGUGCUACCACUCUAGGAUCUCCAGAGCCCUUGGGCAAGGGGCCCAACUGGCCCCCUUGUUAGUGGGACACAACUGGGUUCUGAGCACUCUUCAAAGUGUUGGUGCUGACCUUUAAAGCCCUAAAUGGCCUCGGCCCAGUAUACCUGAAGGAGCAUCUCCACCCUCACCAUUCAGCCCGGACACUGAGGUCCAGCUCUGAGGGCCUUCUGGUGGUUCCCUCACCGUGAGAAGCGAAGUUACAGGAAACCAGGCAGAGGGCCUUCUCGGUAGUGGUGCCCGCCCUGUGGAACACUCUCCCAUCAGAUGUCAAGGAAAUAAACAGCUAUCUGACUUUUAGAAGACAUCUGAAGGCAGCCCUGUUUAGGGAAUUUUUUAAUGUUUGAUGUUUUAUUGUUUUUUAGAUAUUUUGUUGGAAGCCACCCAGAGUGGCUAGGGAAACCCAGUUGGAUGGGCAAGGUAUAAAUAAUAAAUUGUUGUUGUUGUUGUUACCAGGCCAACCCUGGUCACCAGUGCUGCCUCUAGUUCUUGAAGAGACCAUCACCUCGGGAGAUAAAUCAACUGGGAGACUUUCUACUCUUCUCUCUCUCUUCACCCUUUCUCACCUUCCCUUUCCUGAAAGGAAGACAAAAGAGAAGAAGCCUAGGUCAGGGGACUCGAAUUUCUUUCUUUCUUUCUUUCUUUCUUUCUUUCUUUCUUUCUUUCUUUCUUUCUCUUAUUUAUUUAAAUUAUUUUAUUAUACAGUCUAAAAUAUUGUUCAUGGUGAUAAAGCCCCUGAUUGGAAGAGAAUGUUCAGCUGCUCCUGGAAGUAAAAGGUUUGCAAUCCAACUUCUGCGAGGGAAGCGAAAAUUGUCUGCUUGGCUGGGAUCAAAAUCUCACAUAACAGGAGGCUGAGGGCCUGGAAGAGGGGCCAGGAAAUAGGGAAGAUAAAGGACAAGGAUCCCAAAGGCAAGGGUGGUGGUGGUGAGGUCAGGUUGAAGGAAGGGUGAAGAGACAUUGGUAUGCCACAUGUUCCUGUCACAAAAUUAUAUUCUGGAACUGGGUCUAGUUUAUCAUUGUUUUUAUCAUUAUAGGCAGCAUUUGCUUUAAGGUUGAGGCUACUCCGGUAACAUGUGCAAGAGACCAAAAUAUGGCAAAGCACCUCCAUCUGCAUAGCCUUUGCGCGAGGCAAAGCUUUGUUGUGUUCCGUCAGAUUCCUCUCCAAGAGAAGGGGAGUCUUCUGCCCCCACGCCAGAAGUAUUUGUUUACAGGAUCGGGCCCUGCCAUUUCAUUUUAAAGCAGGCCCCCUUCCUUUAUUUAUUCCUUUAUUUAUCUCAGCCCCCUUGCCUGUGAAGUUAUGCUUGUUAGUGAAAGGUGAAAGGCUUUUUUGAUAUCUAAAGCCAAUGUUACAAUGAGCUUUUCUCCCCAUGAGAGCACCUGGUUCUCAUGUUUAAUGAGUAAACACAGGAAAACAGAGACUUGAAGGCUGAUUGUUCUCACCAUCAUUACUUCUGAACCCGACAUUAAAGAGAAGUAAAAGACAACAGCACAGCAGUUCUUUUUUUUUCCACCGCACUUCCUUAAACAAAACAAAACAAAACAAAACAAAACAAAAUCUGUAAUGAGACGCAUUUGAAGUCUUACUUGGGGGACAAUCUUCUAGAUUAUAAUUGAUAAUUUUUCCAAAGCAGUAUUUUUUGGGGGGGGAGGGUACAGAUUGUGUAAUAAUAAUUACUUGUUUCUUUUGAGGGGAUAAAUAAAAUAUGAAUAAUGUAAUUACUCCCUAACAAAAUGUGGAGAGCUGGUUCCCCACUGCUCCAUCGACUGCAGCGAGCAAAGAGACAGGAUUUCAGGAGCCGAUUUCCAAGUGGAGGAUGACAUGCUACAAUUCCUCCCCACUUACACGUGCCACAUUUUGCCGGCAGAAGCAUCCGCAUUAAAGGAAGAGAUUCUUUAUUUAUGCAAACUCCCUCCUCCCCAAUUAAUUCUUCUUAAAAAGAAACAAAUUGCCAGUCACAUAAGUUAGAGUAGUGACGAGCAGAGAGAAGAGUCAUUUGGGGGAGGAAAAAAAAAAGAUUAUUAUACAAAUUCUGGGGAGAGACGUCUUCCAACCAACUGAUGUUUUACUGGCUGACCAGUGAAACUAUUGUUCAGCCAGUAUUGGGGUAUGAAGAUAAGUAGAGCCUGCUGGAUCAGGCCAAUGGGCCAUCAGAUGAAUUGUUCUGCUCCCAAAAUCCAGAUUUGGUUCUGCUUUGCUCAUAAGCUGCUAUUUCCGUUGUCGGAACAUUGGACACUGGCCGAUACUGAGGCAGCCCUGAGGACCAUCUAGCUACCGAUUGUCUACACCAGGGUUUCCCAAACCUGAGCCUCCAGCUGUUUUCAGACUGCAGUUCCCAUCAUCCCUGACCACUGGUCCUGCUAGCUAUGGAUGAUGGGAGUUGUAGUCCAAAAACCACAAGCGACCCAAGUUUGGGAAACCCUGGUCUACACUGAGUGGCAGCGCCUUCUGCAGGGUUUCAGGCAGGGUUCUCUCCCAGCCCUUGGGAGUGAAACAGACAUUCUGCACGCAAUGCAUAUGCCCCACUACAGAGCCACCUUCCUUGCCGUUGGCAUUGCCCCCAGCCUACUGGGCUGAGCCCAGGCUUUGGGUCUGACAUACCAAGUUCUUUUCUUGCUCCACCUGCCUCCAUUCUGCCCCUGCUAUUGAAGGCCUUCUCCAUGCUAGAGGAAGGUACAUCCAGAUAGACCGUGCAGUUGUUUGUGGAAGAUAUUUUAAUGCCCACCUGAUUUAGGUAUUGCCCACUUUCCUUUCCUCUACGCACAGUGGAGAAGAUCCCUCCUUCUGACUCACUAGGUAGGUCUUCCCUACCUCCAACGCCUCUAGAAAGAUGUGUAACAUCCAGCACAUUAAGGGAAUGUAGAGGCAUAUUGUAUCUUGCAGGUUCCCUUGCUGCAAGAAGCCAAGUUACAGGGAACCAGGAAGAGGGUCUUCUCAGUAGUGGCACCCGCCCUGUGGAACGCCCUCCCAUCAGAUGUCAAAGAGAAAAACAACUACCAGACUUUUAGAAGACAUCUGAAGGCAACCCUAUUUAGGGAAGCUUUUAAUGUUUAACAGACCGUUGUAUUUUACUAUUUUGUUGGAAACCCAGGCAGAUGGGCGGGAUAUAAAUAAUAAAUUAUUAUUAUUAUUAUUAUUAUUAUUAUUAUUAUUCAAUCUAAAUGCCUAUUUCCUCUCAUUCAUCGUUUAGCUGAUGCCACACUCACAAUCAGAAGGAACUUUGAGGUUGCAGGAUCUGUUUCCCAUCUCCAGUGGAUAAUGAAGUGGACAGUUCAUACAUACUUCCCAUGUAUGCAAUCCAGAUAUGAUGAUGAUGAUGAUGAUGAUGAUGAUGAUGAUGAUGAUAACAACAACAACAACAAUAAUAAAAAUUAUUUAUUCCCCGCCCUCCCCAGCCAAGACCGGGCUCAGGGCGGCUAACACCAGAUAUAAAAACAAUUGAUUGAAAUACAACUUAAAAAACAAGAUUAAAAUACAACAUUAAAAUGCAGCCUCCUUUCAGUAGAAACUCAAAUCAAAAACUUUAUUGGGGAUGAAAACGUCAUCAUUUCCUAUACAUACAUUUGCGUUCUCUCUCCCUCAUAGGUCUUGUUCAAAUGUAAUAAUCUUGGGCUGCAAUCCUGUGCACACAUGUCUGGAAAUAAGUUCUACUGCACUCAGUGGGACUUACUUUUGAAUUAGUAUGUACAGGAUUGCAUUGUCAGUCUAAUAAAUUGUGGUUUAUUAGACCAAGAAUGAAUGUUGGGCCCAUAUAUACUCCCUUCUUCCCUUCCUUCUCUCUCAUGCCAUAAAGAACACCAGGGUUUGUUAAAACACAGCUGAACCAAGAAACAGUGGUUUAACCAGCAUCUAAUCCUGGUUAUUUAUAUAAAAAAAAGUUUUAUAAAUAAUGUUAGAUGUGCCAAAACAGGAGAGAUGUGACAAUGGAGUGUGUGGCCAGAGGGCAUAUUUUCUUUCCAAUGAUUCAAGAUGCAACUGCACUUCGAAUACUGGUUGCAACACAAAAAAAGAUGAAAAUAUGCCCCCCCCCAAAGCAAAUAAAAUGAUCACGAGACUGGAGUGACUCAGUUUAGAGAGAAGGUGAAUAAAGAGGUGCGUGAUAGAAGUGUUUAAAAACAUAAUACUAGAACCCAUCUGAUGAAACUGAAUGUUGGAACAGUCAGACAGACUUCUUCACAUAGUUAAACUAUGGGAUUUGUUACCAUAAAAUGCCAUUAUGCUUGCUAGCUUAGAUGGCUUCCCAGAGGGAUUAAAGAAAUCCAUGGUGAAGAAGGCUACCGGAGAAACAUGAGGGGAAGAGUGCUAUCGUCCUCAUGCCUCCAUGGGCAUCUGGUUGGACACUGCAGAAACAAAAUGCUGCCCUCGAUAAGCCUCUGGUCUGAUCCAGCAGAAUUCUUAUCAUGUUCUAAAGAGAAUUCGCUUUAGAUAGUUCACAUAGAUCCACUCCAUGAACAUUCAAAUAUGCCUUCCAGAGUAUUUCACUCAGGAUGAUAAGUUGUUGUUGUUGUUGUUGUUUAAAAAACCACAUUCCUAGGAACAGCAGCAUAAAAAUGUGAAGACUUUAGAAGACUUCCAGCCACUUUUCCCUUCCCUUAAUUUUGUAAACUUUCUUUAUCAAUACUUAAUGGCAUUUUGAUAUUUGCUGUUUGGUAAAGGCUAUUCUUUAAAAACCACAACUGCGAAGUCAAAUUUUCAUGUGCAAAGGAGACCCUCAGUGGCUUUGUUUAUUUUCAUCUUCAAAAUAUGGGGGGCGGGGGGCGGGCAGGGAUCAAAAUGAAACAGAAUAGACUUCUUCUAACUGUUAUGCAAAAUGCAUUUAGCAUGGUCAUUGAUCAGCUCUUUUGCUUCUUCAUGGGGCAUCUCUACAUUUUAGCUUUUCCAAUAACAGUUAGGCAUUGUGUGCUUUGUUUUGUCGAGACUCUCCAGAGGGUCUUCUGCUCUCUUUCUCUGAAUUUUCUCUAAUGGUCAUGAUCAAAAUGCAAAAUAUACACAGCAUAGGCUGCCCACACUUUGCAACCUGUGCACCUAGCCGUUCUGACUGUGCCAACCAUGUGCUUGAGGGGAAUGGGGUCCUGAAAACAAUAUAUCCCCACCACACACACAACUGAGGGGAGGAGGAAAACUUUUACCCAGAAUUGAUUCUGCCACAGCUAACAGUGGACAGUACUUGCUAGACAAGCAAUCUGUUUGGAAAAAGUCAAUAGCAUCCACCUGGCAUAUACUCCUUAGAAAACUGACAAAGAAAUAGCAAGCAUAUCAUAGUACAGGGGAGCAGCCCAUGGCCUGGCCUCUGCAGCCAUUUUUAUUGGUCUGUCACCCUCCUCUCACAUUUGGCACCUCUAUUUGAAGGUGCUGCUUCUUUUUCUGUCAAAACACCACCAGUAGAAGGUUUUCGAGGAAACAUGGAGGAUCAUUGAGCCACUCUAGAUCGUUCUAACAAUGUCCCCUUUACUGAUUUUUAAGAUGUAGCCGCCAUCUUGUGUUAUACCAUGCCACCACAGCAGCCAUUUUGUUUUUUGCCAGGUCCAGGUGGCAGCCAUUUUGUGACUGGCACCCAUAGCCCUUUUUCAAAACUUCCAAAGAGGUUGGCAAUCCCUAACUUAAUACCAGAUCCGACACAUGGCAUUUGUACCAGCAAACCAAAUCUAUGCUUCCAGUAUGCACUUACAUUUUUUUCUCCACAGUUACAAAUGUGUCUGAAGCCAUGAAUAAAGUCACUAAUGCCUAAGUUUAUCAGUCCAGAAAUUAAGGGAAGAAUGAAGACUAGGAACAGGCCUCCAGAAGGGCAGGUGGAUCACAAAAGAUUGUAGAGAACCUGUUAAUUUGGGGAAGGAGGGUAGAUGGGCAUAGGAAAAACUCACAAGGCAGAACUUCUAGCAAUUUACGUAUUUCAAAUUGAUCCUCCUUUGCUCACAUUUCUUUAUAGAUAUGAAAAGAUACUGUAAAUAAAUAAAAUAUGUUAUCUUUUUUUAUCCCUCUGCUGCCAAUCAUAUGAUAAAAGGAGCCAUUAUUUUACGACCCCUGUGGUUGUCUGUCUGUCUGUCACAAUGAACUCAAGAACAACAGACAUCUCUGUGUCGCUUCUAAUUGGUGCACCUACUGCGUUGUCUUCUGAAGGAUCCAGUGUUGAUUUCUUGCAAAUACUUCAUUUUCCAACAGGUUGUUUCUGGGCUUGCAACAGAAUGCAAGGGUGUCCUUCGGGACAGGAUGGCCCAGUUCUGUCUUCUGGAAUACAGUCUGCUGUGCUUUCCCCUCCAGGCUACCAAUGGCAAUGCCAGCAUGGCUUGACAUACCCGUCAAUGUGGCCUCCAAGUUACACAGGGAACUGCAAACAUUCAGCUGAACCAAUCAGUUUAAUCAGGGCAACAGGAUUAUCCGAUUUUGCAAUGUACAAUGGUGGAAAAACUGAAGAGAAUAGCUAUUCCCCCUUGUCCAUGGGAGAUAGCCAAUGCUCUCUGUGUGUAAGCAGAUUGGGCUUCCACUGGUGCAACAGGAUGUUCCUCCCACCGCCCACCUCGAAGCUCCCCACACUCUCUCAAAAAAUCUCUGCUGGAGGGCUGGGGGGACCCUCUGGAUCAGAUCUGGAGGGAGCAUUGGGGUCUGCAAAGACGAGGGAUGGAAGGUGAGUCCCUGUUGCAUGAGCAGAGGUCUGUAGGAAUAUGGACUCGGCAACAUUAGUAAAGAAAAAGCGCUUUACGUGUGUUAUAAUACUGUGACACCAGAUGGCGCUGUGGAGUCCUGUCUUUGGCCAAUGUGAUUUCCCUCUAUGAAGUUGGCAAUGUGUUUUCCCAAAAUGCUUUUUUUGGUGUGUCUAGAUCCACCCUAAAUAAACCACAGGAUCAGAGCAUAUAAUCCAGUAAACAAAAUGUUCCACCCAGCAUUGACGGAGCAUGCAGGCCAGGCCCUCUCAAUAUUUUUUUGGGGGGGGUGGCAGGACCCCCUUGAAACAAAUAUUGAGGGGCAGAAGACACCUCCACCCCUAGAGUGGGCUCACCUCGUGUGUAUAUAAGUAUAUAGCUUACUAUUUACUAUGAUUUAGUCACCAUUAAGGAUCAUGGCCACUGGUCCCAUCACCUGCUGGCAAAUAGAAGGGGAAGAAAUGAAGAGAGUGAGAGAUUUUACUUUCUUGGGCUCCAUGAUCACUGCAGAUGGUGACAGCAAUCAUGAAAUUAAAAGACGCCUGCUUCUUGGGAGAAAAGCAAUGACAAACCUAGACAGCAUCUUAAAAAGCAGAGACAUAACCUUGCCAACAAAGGCUCGUAUAGUUAAAGCUAUGGUUUUCCCAGUAGUGAUGUAUGGACCAUAAAGAAGGCUGAUCGCCGAAGAAUUGGUGCUUUUGAAUUAUGGUGCUGGAGGAGACUCUUGAGAGUCCCAUGGACUGCAAGAAGAUCAAACCGAUCCAUUCUGAAGGAAAUCAGCCCUGAGUGCUCACUCGAAGGACAGAUCCUGAAGUUGAGGCUCCAAUACUUUGGCCACCUCAUGAGAAGAGAAGACUCCCUGGAAAAGACACUGACGCUGGGAAAAAUUGAGGGCACAAGGAGAAGGGGACAACAGAGGACAAGAUGGUUGGACAGUGUUCUCGAAGCUACAAACAUGAGUUUGGCCAAACUGCGGGAGGCAGUGGAAGACAGGAGUGCCUGGUGUGCUCUGGUCCAUGGGGUCACGAAGAGUCAGACACAACUAAAUGACUAAACAACAACAACAAACAACAAAGGAUAUGGAUCAUUAAGUAUAAGAACAUAAGAGGUAUCCUGGUAGAUCACCCUUCACCCUGGGUCCUUCACCCUGUUCACAAGUGACCAAACAGGACCUACAUACAACAGCACUCUCCCCAUUCGGAGGCUGUCAGGGGCUGGACUGAGGAGGAAUGGUGGAAGCCGCACCCCCCCUUCUCUUGAACCUUUCCAAGUGCAGGAGGACAGUAUUGAUUUAGAACAGUGGUUUGCAGAAGGGCAUAGUCCAGAGGGGGGAAGCUGGGAAAUACUGGGUGAAGAACAGCUAGAAGAGGAAACACCAGGAGAGAGGGAGAGGGAGAGAGAGAGCUGGCAGAUGCAAUGUCCUUGGACAGCAUUCCUGACCCCCCUUCGCCUAAGACUAGACAGGCUUUGAGAGUGAUAGAACAGAGAGCAAGCUCAGAUUUCCCAAUGCAGGAGUGAUGUAGAUUAAUGGGGACGGAGGGGAUGAACCUUUACUGGGAGCAAUGCCAUUUCUAGAGAGAUAUGCAUUCCUUUGUCUCUCGCUGUGAUUGUUAAAGAAACUAACUGGUAAGAAUGCUCCUUUCGUUUGAUCUGCUUAUUUACUGCCACCGGGGGAGGGAUCUGAUCCUCCAAAGCCUGACAGAGCCAUAUUGCCCUCCAACUGUGGAGGUAAAGCAUGUUUGAUUUGAUGAUGGUGGUGAUGAUGAUUAGACUGUGGGAUGGAUAGAUAGAUAAAAAUGUUCCGUGCAGGGAAUGCUUCCACCCAUUAUAGCCAUGGCACCCGGACAUUCCACUGUCCAUCUUUGUAGUUAAAAGACCUAUAGGCAUAAGCCAUGCAGUUGAGGACCCAAGGGUGAUUUUCUCUUUGGGCUGAUGGUCUGGCUGCAGAAGGCUGCAGAUGAGAUGCUGUGCAUUUCUCCACAUGUUACUUCAUCUCCAGCCAGUCACACAACUGGUGGGUUUCCCCCCCCUCUCUCAUGCAGUUUUCCACAUCUGUUUGAAGAUAUCUUUCCUCUGAUCUGCUGCUGCUGCUUUGGAACUUUAACGGGCCAAGGCAACAGAGGCACAUUCCCUUCCCCUUUUGCUUUCACAUCCUUAAGAGCACACCUCCCUCCCCACCAAAAUCAAAAAAAACAUAAACAGGUCCCCUUUUCAAGGUGCAUAAAAAUAUUCACAGCCUCUACCUCUUCAGUUUGGCUCAGUCCCAACCUUUCCAAGGGGUGGUUGUAUUUUAUAACAUCUUAAAGACUAACCAAACCAGGUGUAUUCCAGAGGUUGUUGGACUGCCCUCUGUUAAACUUAUAUUAAUUACCCUGCCUUAUCCUACAGAGCUCUUGUGAAAAUAAAAUACAGGAUGCCCUGAAUUCCUUGGAGGAACAGCGGGAGAAACCACUGUAUUAAAUGUUUUAGAUACAUAUAUUUCAUAAAGAAAAUGGAGGAACAGUACAGUGGUACCUCGGGUUAAGAACUUAAUUCGUUCUGGAGGUCCAUUCUUAACCCGAAACUGUUAUUAACCUGAGGUACCACUUUAGCUAAUGGGGCCUCCUGCUGCUGCCGUGCCACCGGAGCACGAUUUCUGUUCUCAUCCUGAAGCAAAGUUCUUAACCCGAGGUACUACCUCUGGGAUAGCAGAGUCUGUAACCUGAAGCGUCUGUAACCCGAGGUACCACUGUACACAACAGAAAUGCCAAUGGCAUCCAUUUAUCUCCUGUCUCAAGCACAUUUAGGGAAAUCAGGAUCAUGCCUCAAAGUGAGAAGCGAAGAGCAAAAAUCGAGAGUUUUGCUGUUGUGCUGAGUCCUCCCAUCCUCACAGAUGUUUCAAAAGUUCUUGUUGUGUUGCAGUGACAGCUUCUUCUUCUUCUUCUUCUUCUUCUUCUUCUUCUUUGCUUCCUCCCGACUGCUCACUUCAAAAAUGAGGACCAGCAGUCCUGGAAAGGAUCCCGCUCAAGCAGCCGAUUCUGUGACCUUUCUCCAAGUCUACUGAGCGAUGGCAUCGGUUCAGGGAAAAGAGGAGGAAAUUGGUGCCGCAGCUCUGCAAUGAUCAGACUGCCACAAACAGAAACUUGAGAGGGGCUGGCUGGCUGCUUGGCUGGACCAGAGUGUGCACACUGUCGCUUUCGACACUUUGAAGCCUCCUCCUUUUUGAAGCCAGGCUUCGUGGUUUUUAGGGACAUGAUGAAAGAAGGAAACAACUUGAUUCCUCCACCCACCCACUCGCACCCCCCGGAGAAUUUUGUGAUUAUUAAGAAACACAAAGUUUGUUUCUGGAGAAAGGGAGAGUCAUCUUGGCCCUGUGCAUCGUAAAACACUGGGGGGAGGGAAAAUACCCUGGCGCAAUGAGGAGGAGGAUCACAAAUAAGUUGCUAUAUACUGCUAGCUGUCGUGAUUUUAUAGGGAGCUUCAAGCUAUCUAUCCAAUUCCUAAACUGCUAAUGUCUUAGAAAUUGCCAUGUCAUACCAAAGAAGGAUUUUCUCUUUAGCUAUUUGUUUGUAGUUGUUGCUGUUUUUUAAUCUAUGUGUAGGAACUUUAAUAUAUAUAUAUAUAUAUAUAUAUAUAUAUAUAUAUAUAUAUUAACCAUUUCAACAUAACAAAACAUCAAAACAUCUCAUAUUCAUCACUUUUCCCCCCAUUUCCCCCCACCUCCCCAUCAAACCCUCCCUCCCCCCCAGACUUCCCUCAGCUCCUCUCUCUGAUUUCUCAACUCAUAUUAUUCUCUGCAUAUUGUAAAAUUGUAUAAAUCCUUAUAUUAUCUAUCUACUACAUUAACAAUCAAAGAUUUGUGUAUAUUCAAAACCUGCCAAGUACAGUAGUCCAGUUUGUUUCGUUGUCUUUUUAAGUAAUAUGUGAAAAGUUCCCAUUCUUCUUUAAAGUCACAGUUGUCUUUAUCUCUCAAUUUGUAUGUCAGUUUAGCCAUUUCUGCAUAGUUCAUCAAUUUCUCUUGCCACUGUUCUUUUGUCGGGGUUUCCUCAUUCUUCCAUCCUUGUGCUAUCAAGACAUUUGCCACUAUGUGUAGGAACUUUUAACCAUUCUUUGUUCACUUGGACUUAACUGUCAGCAACCUGGAGCUGCUUUUCAUUCGGCAAAAGGUUGUUGUUCAGGAGUAGUGGUAGGAAUUCACUUUCAAACUACAGUGCUACCUUGGUUCCCAAACUUAAUCCGUUCUGAAAGUCUUUUCCAAAACCAAAGCAUUCCAAAACCAAGAUGCACUUUCCCAUAGAAAGUAAUGCAAAAUGGAUUGAUCCGUUCCAGACUUUUAAAAUCAACCCCUGAAAUUUAACAUGAAUUUUACUAUCUAACAAGACCAUUGUUCCAUAAAAUGAAAUCAAUAAACAAUGUACUACAAUCACACAACCAAUCAAUCAAUCAAUCAAUCAGUAGCUGAACUGGGUUCCACACAGUCACAAAACCAACCAAAAAAGAGCUGCAGAAACCAAAACGCAAAAUAAAUAGCAAAAACAAACAGACCUCAGCGUAGCACUCAAAAAGGAAGUGUGGCGCUCAAAUCGGAAACGUAAGACUCAAAAUAGAGCACAUUUGGCUUCCGAAGAAAGUUCGCAAACCAGAACACUUACUUCCGGGUUUGCAGUGUUUGAGUUCCAAGUUGUUUGAGUACCAAGGCGCUUGAGAACCGAGGUACCACUGUAUGUUGUGAUGGCCAACAACUUGGAUUAGAUAAAUUCAUGGAGGACAACCCUAUCAGGGGCGAUAUUCUUCCUUCACUGUUGCAGGUGGUAUGCCUCUGAAUAUCCAUUGCUGGGAACCUCAAGUGAGGAGAUUCCUGUUGUGCUUAUACUUUUGCUUGCCGGCUUCCCAUAGGCAUCUGGUUAAUCUUUGUGAGAACAGAGAUGCCUGAUCCUGCUUUGUACUUAGAAGGUCCCAGGUUCCAUACCCCACUUCUCCACUGAACAAAUCUGAGGUAACGAGAGAUUUCUGCAUUGCAGAGGGCUGGACUAGGUGACUCUCAGGGUCACUUCCAACUCAUAGAGUUUGUAAGCGUCUGUAAUCCAAUAUUUGUCGGGGGAUGAUACUACCGAAACUACCAAGAUUGUUUCGGGAUACUUAGCCGAGAUCUUUAAAGCUAAAUCUACAGUUACCUGAUUUAUUCAGUGGUGGUUAUAUAUUGUAUGUGUUUGGAUUAUCAAUGUUUUUGGGUGACUUUGCAUGAUUUUUUAUGAUUAAACUGUUUUCACUUAUAUGCCAGUAAAGGCUAGAAAAGAAAAGAAAGAACUCUACAGUCAUAUGAUUUAGAGCAGACCCGUACAUUGUGAUAUUAAGGGUUUAUCUGCAUUAAUUAUUUCUGCAGUAGUAGUAAUUAUUUCUGAAAUAAUUUUUAUUUGGUUUUACAAAUAUAGAAUUAUGACAGUAUAAUACAAUAUACAUAUCCAUAAUUAGAGAUUUCACCGAAUCUCUGGACUGCCCACCUUCUCCUACACGGGUCCUAUUGUCAUCCUUUUCAACUGCAUAUUAUUUCAUAAUCCAUAUUUUAUGUCUCUCCCUUUUGUCCAUAGUAUUUGCUACAUUACAAGUGUUAUUGCAAUCCUGCUAGUGUUUCCAUCUGCUUAUAGCGGUUCCCUUAUUUGUGAAUAACUUUCAGGAUAAUUAUUUCUGGACUUUCUUAGUCUUUCCUCCUCUCAAGACUCUAAUUGUUCUAUUGACAUUGGAAAUAUUUAAAGAUUAAGUGGUUUAGAAAUACAUAUAAACAACAACAACAAAAAUGUCCUGCACAAUAUAAGGUUGAAUGUGAAGUGAGAAAAGGACCUGUAGCAGGGAAUUCUUAACACCUUGCCAUACCAAAAUUUCCAGAUUUAUUUCUUUAUAAUUGAAAUUAUAUCAAUAAUUUUUUUUAAAAAAGGUUUCUUAUGGGGAGAGAGAGAGAGAGAGAGAGAGAGAGAGAGAGAGAGAGACCCUGUCAUACACAUAUUGAAAUACUGCCCCUCAAUGAGGCCAAACUUAGAUUCACAAAAUGUUUAGGGAUAUGUGUCCCCCCAGAAAAAAGUAUUCUACUAAUAUAUGCACUGGUAUGCACACUUUACAGGUGCUUAUGCCUUUAAAAUAAAAAAAAACUUGGCCUGAAAACUACAAAAUUCAGAGAAGUGCAUAUUGGGCGAUUUCAUCUCUAGAUGCGAACUAAAGCAACGUCCCACUCACCCACCCCGUUCCUACACACAAACACAACAUAUAGACAAACACAGCCUUUUACAAUGCAUACUUCCUUCCCACGCUCAGCCUUUCGGACAGAGUGGACCGCAAGUCCUGUGAAAGUCGCCCUGACUUUCAUCCAGCCUAGUAACUUUCUCCUGACCCCGCACAAACCAGCACAAAGAAAUGAGCUCUCGGUGCCUUUCACCUUGCACUCUCCAUAUGAAAUAAAAUACAGUGAAAUUAAUCCCAGCAGGAGUUCCGUGCAAUAGAGAACUGAUUCAUAUAGGCAGAAAUGGGAAGAAUGGCUGAGAUGAAGAACAUGUGGUUUUUGGGGGGUUUUUUAAGCAGGGAGGUGGUAGAUCUAAGCAAUGAAAGCACGUUAUCAAAGCUGUUGGUGACAUUUCUUUGCUGGAAAAUUGUUGAGUUACACACACACAGACACAAAUAUAUGGUGUUGUUAAACAAAUUCAACUUCAACAUUUUGCUGCAUUGGAGUAAGGUUAUCAGAUGUCCCUGUUUCCCGGGGACAGUCCCCGAAUUUACAAAUCAGUCCCCAUACAAAAUCCAUUGAAGUUGAAAAGUGUCCCCAGAUUCACUGAAAAAAAUAUCUGGUAACCAUACAUUGGAGGGGGCCUGAUCCAGCAGGUCUCUUCGUGGGAGAGCAUCUGCUUUGCAUCUAGAAAGUCUUGGGUCCCAUGCCCCACUUCUCCACUGAACACUAUGCGGCCAACUCAGAUGUGAUGAGCAAACAUCAUGGUUGGCCAACAAAUACUCUGACAAUUGGUAGGGGAUUCUGUGUCACAUGUGUUCACACCUCCAUGAGCUUUCCUCUGGUUGGGAGAAGGAAAUGGGGGACCCAAAUCACAGACAAUUCACAACUCGGAGCAUCUAGUGAGCUCGCUGCACUGCUAGGAGCCAAAGAAUAAAGGUAAAGGUAAAGGGACCCCUGACCAUUAGGUCCAGUCAAGGCCGACUGGGGUUGUGGCGCUCAUCUCGCUUUAUUGGCCGAGGGAGCCGGCAUACAGCUUCCGGGUCAUGUGGCCAGCAUGACUAAGCCGCUUCUGGCGAACCAGAGCAGCACACAGAAACGCCAUUUACCUUCCCGCCAGAGUGGUACCUAUUUAUCUACUUGCACUUUUACGUGCUUUCGAACUGCUAGGUUGGCAGGAGCUGGGACCAAGCAACGGGAGCUCACCCCGUCACGGGGAUUUGAACCACCGACCUUCUGAUCGACAAGUCCUAGGCUCUGUGGUUUAACCCACAGUGCCACCCGCAUCCCUUAGGAGCCAAAGAAUGCACACUGGAUUUUACAAAGAAGCUAAGCCCUGUCUCAGAACAUACACACACACAGGCUGAUGUGGUGUGUGCACGGACACAAAACAAGUCCUUCACUGCCACACCUUGCCUUGACACUUGUAAGCAACAAUCUCCAGAAAGCUCUCAUUUUUUUCCUGGUAGAAACGGUUGGUAACUAAUCCUUCUUCCAAGGCUUGGCACUAGCAGAGCCAUACAGCCCCCCCCCCCGAACUACCCUUCUUUUUCAUUCCUAUGAUAUCUCUUGUUAAUUGCAACCAGCAGGAUCCCCCCCCCUCCCUCCGCCUCUUGCUUCCCUGUCAAGUUGAGCCCGUCUGCCUCUGAGGAUAACGGCCAGUCUAGGGACCGUGUGUUACAUGCAACACCCUCUUGGCUCCUUAUUAAAUGAUAGUCAACCUGCCUUUGAAACGGUUUGUCUUUCAGGCCAUCUGAAGUCGGACAAAUUGCUCUGCACCGCUUUCUCUUCCUCUCCCAUCAGUCAUAUCGAUUGACAAAAACACCAUUUACAAGGGGAGGUGGGGGGAAGAACCGCGGAGGGAGAUGCACAGAGCAAAUGGGAAUUAAUGAAAUAAAUAACGUGUGUGAGGUUUGGGUUUGGUGUGUUGUUGUUUUAAAUCAAUUCUCUGUGAGCGUGUACGUGCGCUUGUUUUUGUUUUAUUUUAAAAACCAGUUCUUUGUAUACGGCACAAAAUGGAAUCCUAAAUUUGAGUACAGAUGCUCACUUUGGAGGAAAAUAUUGAAGGGAAGAUUGGCUUUUGUAUACACAAGCACAUCUGGGUUAUACCUGGGGCAGGUUCUGGCUUCGCUCUGCUCUACCUAUGAAGGUAUGGUUUUUGGUUCCUGUUCAGCUCUGAACUCCCUAAAAAACAUGUAUAAGACCCUACGUCAGAUCUCCAUCUGUAAAAAUAAAUAUCUGUUUUUGAAUGCAAGAAAGGCAGGUAUAUGGCUAAAUAUGCUAUGUAAGUCAUGCAUAAUAACAGUGCUAAGACACAAUACUUUAAUGUUUUGCAAGUUCUUCCACAUGCUCUCAUUGUGCACCUGAUGAUGGUCUCAUUAAUUUUAGCUCUAGCGACUCAACAGUGAAUGGCAAUGCUGGAGCGAAAUACAUUUUUCCAUUGUUGCUGCAUCCUGGAUUAUUCCAUGUGUGGUCCCAACCAAUCAGGGAUCUCACACAAUGGACAGAAUAAUAUCACAAAGCCACAGAAGAGAUUUGGCUCACAGAAGACAAGAGCAAUUGUUAAGUUCAGUAAAUGAAUAAGUAAACAUCCUCACAUAAAGUACUAGGGUACUGCCUCCAAACAGGAGAUGUUUUUGAUGUUGGGGGGGGGGGAGGUGAUUACCUUCAGUUCAUCUCUAAUCAUAACUGGCAUGAGAGACUUGACAUGUGGAAAGUUUCACUCGUAUUAAAUUCAGGUUCUACUAGCUUUGAUUCCCCUCCCCACCAAAAAAACCCAGGAGCUUCAUUUCAUUGGAUCAGCCCACUGACCUAUCCGGGUCAACAUCCUCUCUCCAGCCAAUAGCAAGUUUUCUGAGCUUCUCUUCCCCUAAUCCUUAUCUGAACCGGAUUGCAUUGAACACUACCGUGCCCAUGCUUUCACGCCUGUGGAAGAGGAAUGAUGCUCAGCCUAGGACAGGAGGCCUCAAUCACACACUGUAUUAUGUUCCCAAGAAUGGAAAAUAGUCCCCGAAGAGAUGAGGAGGUGGUUUGUGGUUUCUGGAGGAGGAAAUUUGAUGCAGGUUUGUAGCACAAUUCCUCCUACCCCCACCCCCCCUUGGUGCAUGAAUGUGAGAAUCAACAGUCAUUGUGGCUGAGAAGGAAACCCAGCCUGUCCUUCAAAGAGACAUGACUGUGUGGGAAAGAGGGCAGAAGCAAAGCCAAACCAUCUGUAAUUCCACCACGACAGUUAUGCUGCUUCCCAUGUAGCCUGGCUCUGGGUACAGCAUGUAAGGCCGUCCGCAGCUCCCUUCCUUCUAGCACAGCCCUCCUUGUGUGUGAAGACCCCCAGGAGCUACCCCAAUAAAUAAUUACGCACAUGACACAGAAUUUAAUUUUAGGUUAUUGGCAUAAUUAUGGCCACAACUUUAUUGAUUACAGAUAGUGAGUGGUUUGUUUAGGCCAGGGGUCAGCAAACUUUUUCAGCAGAGGGCCGGUUCACUGUCCCUCAGACCUUGUGGGGGGCCAGACUAUAUUUUUUGGGGGGAAAUGAAUGAAUUCCUUUGCCCCACAAAUAACCCAGAGAUGCAUUUUAAAUAAAAGGACACAUUCUACUCAUAUAAAAACAUGCUGAUUCCCGGACAGUGCACGGGCCGGAUUUAGAAGGCGAUCGGGCCGAAUCCAGCCCCAGGGCCUUAGUUUGCCUACCCAUGGUUUAGGCAUUGGUUCGACUAGGCUGUGCCUGACCUCAGCAAGGCGCAGCACUUACGACUGGGCCUUACCAUAUCAUCAGUGCAGGUAAACACCAUGGGGGAGCACUGGUACGGGCACGUGACUCAGGCUCACCCCAAAAUGCUCCCAGGGACACUUACGAGUUCCUACCCGCCAAAAGGGGGCAACAAAAGCAUGAUGAGUGCCUGGAUUCCUUGAAUAGAAUACCUCUUGCCAUUGGAGGGGCCAGGUUCUCCAACCCCCCCUCCACACCACCAUUUUAACCAAUGCCUAGCUGCCAAACCUUACAAAGUUGUGGUGAUUUGCUACGCGGCAGGCAAAACCCAAGUGGCACCAGCCGAUCAGCCAAAUGGGAAAAUUCCUACUGGGCCCCUGCUGCAAAAGCAGACGACCCACGACGGCAUAGCAAGCACAAAGCAAGACCCUAAAUAUAGGGAAGGUGGGCGGGUGAUCUGGUGCACGAGGCGAAAAGAGGAAGCUCAAUGCAACGUGCAGCGGUAUAUAUAGGUCUCUCAGUUAAUACACAAAAUUCCCAUUGGCCAGAUUUGUCCACCAACCGAGGGACCACCAGUUGGGUCCCUGGUGGAAUUGUUGUGGCUAUCCAAUUGCUCCCACCCACACAACAAUGAGGUCAGUCCUGAUUAUCUCACCGCAACAUGUGCUCUCUGUGAGGAGGACCCGAUUUGCGCUGCUGGGUAUGCUAUAUUGUGGCAUCUGUCCGCUCCUGAAAAUAAUUCUAACUGGCUACCACACCUAUGGCAGUGUCAGCCGCUGGAGCUAACAGCUAGGAUUUCUGGAGGCCAGCAAACAUUCCAUUCAUAUUGCCCAGGUAAGGCAGCUGCUUUGCAGUUAAAAUUCACAGCGCCAGCAGCCUGUGAGAGCUUCUGCAAUCCCAUAGCAGGGCACUUCCACCUCCCUAGGCAGCAAACUACCACGAUAGCAACCGUUUUGGAUCUUGUUGUCUACUGGCAGUCUAAUUCAGGAGUGGGUCCUCUGGAUGUUGGGACUCCAGCUCCCACCAGCCCCAGCCAGCAGGGUCAAUGGUUAGGGGUGAUGGGUGUUGUAGAGAUAACCUGCAGUCCUGACUUCAUUUUAUGCAGGUGGAUAGCCACCCAUCUCUUCUAAUAAGUACAACCUGGUGGAAGUGUGAGUCACCGAAGGUGUGUUGUGGUUGCAGCAAGCACACCACCUCCAACAGCAGGGCAGGGUGCUACUCUGCUGUCUCCCUAACCUGCCACCUGAGGCCCGCUACAGACCUUCCAGCAAAGGUCACAGAACUGGUGUAGUGCAGUGGUAGAAAGUAUUAGUAGUGUUUCUGCAAAGUCCUGGCUCAAAUAUAAUCUCAGCCAUGAAUGAAUUUUAUUAUUUCGGUCACAGACCAGUUCCAGCCCACAUACAAUAUCAAGGAAGUCAUAAAACACAAUAGGGAUACAUUUGAAUUUGCAGUUAGGUAUAACAGGGACAAUAUCGAUAUAGCAACAGUUAAAAAAUAUAUAAAUUAAAACUUAGUCACUAACAUAUAACCUAAAAUUAUCAUUUAAAACCUUAAUCAUUAUGAUAGCACAGCUUGUUCCCUAAGUUUUAUGUCAAUCGCACAGAAUUUGGCUACCCUUAACGUGAUCUCAGGAUCCUUGUCCUCUACCAGAAAUUUUAGACAUUGAAGUUCGGAUUCAUUUGGAGAUUGAUCUCAGCCAUGAACUCAUUGAGUGACCUCCGGCAAUGGUCCCCUCCAGACACUCGCCUUAUAUUGCAAAUUCACAAUGAUUUGUGCUCAUGGUGCUAUUGGAGUGGUCAUACGUUACCUCACUUCCAAAACUGUUUGGGCCUGCAAAAGUUUGGGGGCAGUCAUACUGCUUCAUUUCCAGUCCGUGCACAUCCUGCAACUUCCUGCUGAAGUCCUUUAACCUUUCAUCCCACAAAUGUUUGGGGUUGGGGUGGGGUUGUUACAUUAUAUAUAGCCCUUCUGGACAGCAAGAACAUGGCAGCAUUGAGGAAGCAUAGCCAAACACCUCAUAAAGCAGUAUAAAACCUGCACUAAUGCCCUUACAUUUUGCCAAGAACAGAUUACACCCACAACAAAACUCUCAUCAGGAGGGGCCCCAAAUCUCUGAGCUCGCCACCAGUUAUUUGGGGAUGAUAAUACCAGCCAUAGGUUCUGGGUUGCAGUACAGCAGGGGUAGUCAACCUUUUUAUACCUACCGCCCACUAAUGCACCUUUCUAGAUGGUAAAAUUUCCUUACCGCCCACCAGUGCUGCAGUAACAUGUGCCGUAGAACCCCCUACCUGGAAUCCUGAAACGCCCACUAGUGGGCGGUAAAGGUAAAGGUAAAGGGACCCCUGGCGAUUAGGUCCAGUCGUGGCUGACUCUGGGGUUGCAGCGCUCAUCUCGCUUUACUGGCCGAGGGAGCCUGCGUACAGCUUCCGGGUCAUGUGGCCAGCAUGACUAAGCCACUUCUGGCGAACCAGAGCAGCGCAUGGAAACGCCGUUUACCUUCUCGCCGGAGCGGUACCUAUUUAUCUACUUGCAUUUUGAUGUGCUUUUGAACUGCUAGGUUGGCAGGAGCUGGGACCAAGCAAUGGGAGCUCACCCCGUUGCGGGGAUUCGAACCGCCGACCUUCUGAUCGGCAAGUCCCAGGUUCUGUGGUUUAACCCACAGCGCCACUCGCGUCCCAGUGGGCAAUAGGGACCAGGUUGACUACCCCUGCUGUACAGAAUAGACAGUUAAUGCAUGCAAUCUGUUCUGAGCGCAUAAGUAAGAUGCUUCAUAUAUGCUGAAGGCAUGGUCCUUCCUUGCGCCAAGAUGCUGCACUUUUGUGCAACAGGGAUCGCAACAGGGCUAAGCAGAACCUUGUUUCUCAAUGCACGGUCGCCACAACAUUGCAUGUGCGCAGAACCAGUGCCCAAUGGAAUGGGCAGUUUGUGCAUGCUUCUCGUCUGUCUUCCCACCACUCCCUUUUUGGGGGGUGGGAUUGGGUUCCCUAGCUCAGCUAGAGAGCCCUUGCUUUGCAUCUCUAGUCGAAUGUAUCCGAGAGCAGCUGAUGACAAGCGCAUCCUCUGCCUUAGACCCUGGAACCUUAGACAGGUCUGGGCUAGGUGUACAAAUUAUCCAACCUGACAGAAGGCACCAAAAGCCUGCAAACACAGAACAGUGGUACCUCGGGUUACAUACGCUUCAGGUUACAGACUCCGCUAACCCAGAAAUUGUACCUUGGGUUAAGAACUUUGCUUCAGGAGGAGAACAGAAAUCGCACGGCAGCGGGAGGCCCCAUUAGCUAAAGUGGUGCUUCAGGUUAAGAACAGUUUCAGUACUUAACCUGAGGUAGCACUGUAUACCUUUAAAGCCCAUUCAAGGUGCAUUCUUUCCCUCAAAGAAUUCUGGGCCGCUGCAGUUCACCUUCCCAGAGUUGCAAGUCCCAGCAACGCUUAACAAACUACAGCGACCAGAAUUAUUUGCAGGGCUGUGUGCUUCGAAUGUGCUCUAAAGGCAUGGUGUGCACCUAUGUGGGGAGUGGGGAGGGUGCGGGAGGCACAGGGACACCACCCCUAUCCUACUUGUGCAUGAACUUGUUUGUGUGCUGCCCCCUAGAGGAGAGGAGGGGGACGAAAGAAUAAACUCCUGUCUGAGCCCCCAAAGGGCUGCUGACAGAUUGUGUUUACAGCACUGCGCUAGACGGAACCACAAGUCUCGCCACAUGCAGGCACUGCUCCCUUGCAAAAGGAAGGAUCGUGCCCUAAGCAUUAAGGUUAUUAAUUUUCUAAUACAUGUGGACCUUUUGACCCUUUGCUCGAAAACAGCGGUCUUUCUCAAUCAUCUUUUUUUUUUUUUAAGACGAAGCUCCAUGCUUAGCUAUUAUUCAGGAGGAACAUUAUGUUGACAUUAGCAUGUAGGUUUUUGAAAAGACUAAAUAACGCCGCCGCCCCCCCAAAAAACCCUCCCUGCGCAAGAUAGAGAAUGUAACAUCGUGACCAUAUAGCACUGUUGAAUGAUUAAAAAUUUAGAUGACUGCCUUUGAAACAAUAAAAAAAGCCUUGGAAGCUUCUUAAUGAGCAGCUAUCAGAAAUAAAGCUUUUAAAACUUCAGAAAGUGCCUCUGUGGAAAUUUCAUUGUCUUUGAUGCUGUAAAAUAACUGCAGGGUAGAUUCAUUUUAAGUUCUCUUUAGCAUACUGGUAGUUCAGAAAUAUUGGGAGAUAUCUUUCUUAGCAAUAUGUGGGGAAAACAAUGUCUUGGUCGCUUUCAUUUAUCUGCAAUUUGACAGGAGUGCAGUUUAUUAACUUGAAAAGGAGACAGAUACAUUAUCUGAAACAGAGAGACUAUCGUAGGUAUUGCCUUCUUUUUAUACCAGUGGGAGUCCGUGACACUUUGAACUUGCUCACCAUUAAAUGCCUUCCUGAGUUGUUGAAGAGCCUUUAAAAAGGAAGCCUGCACAUUUAUGAUGUAAAUUCGUUAUUUUGACAGUCUUUGAAAUCUGUCAAAUUCACAUCCAAUUUAAUGCGCACCAAAAAAAAAAAUCUUUUCUUUUAAAAUACUUUUCUUUGGAGAUUUUUUCAAAGCCAUUUUCAUGUAGAAAACUAUUGUUAUACCUAAUAUAUCCUGAAAGUGGCUUAGCAAGGAACUUAUAUGAUUCUGUUUUAAGUCAUGUCAGCUUUUAAAACAUGCCAUUUCUUCAAAUAAGCUUUGACCAGGCUCACUCUUUUUCUCCCCCAUUAGUUAAAGUAUGCUUGAUAUCCCUGAAUACAAUUAGCUACAAUGGAUAAUAUGGUCCAUUUUAUCAUCAGUCAAAUCAAAUCAGAGCCUUUGGGGUUUUGUUGAAUCGACUAAUCACCUACACAGGGGCACCUAUAGAUAUCUGAGGUCCUUUGGAAAUGCUAAUAGGAAUUUGGGGAUAGCAUUCCUAGCCAAAAUUCAAAUUUGGGCCACCCCACCCAACAUAUCUCAGAGAAUUCCAUCAUUGAUCCUCUAGUUACAUUAUGCCGGCAGAUGUUUCCACUAAGCCAUCUGAUGUCUUAAUGAAGAGAGGGUAGUUUAAAUACUCCAAACUGCUGUUAAAAUUAAACUACUCAAUUUUGAUUUGAAGGGCUGAAUAUUUAUUAUGGAUAUGUGUUUGGGGAGGGUGCAGGCCGAUUCCGCCAUCAGAAGGAAUCAGAUUAGUUCUGAUUGAAUCCCAGACUCCCAUCUAUUUCAAGUCAAUCUCCAAGCCUAGCAAACAUCCUUGGGUUUCCUAAUCCUUAUUACACAGCGGAUGCUGGGCUGUAUCUUCACUUCUUUAUCAGUUUGCAAGAUAUUUUCAAAUUGGUACAGAGGUCUUCAUGCAGAUCUCCUUCAAAGCAACAUACAGAGGAGGCUCUGUUAAGAGUUUCAGAGAGUGUUUACAGAUGUCUUAUCAGUGGAAGGAGGGAAGGAGGGAGGGAAGAGGGUGGCAGGGAGAUGGAACAAAUUUCCCCAAAGCAGGCACACAACAGUCCUAAUCUGCAGAAGGCAUCACACACACAGGAGGUUCAAAGAUCUUCUUCUACAAAGAAACAAAUUAAGUUGAGCUGUUAGUGGUUCAUUCAAAAAAAAAUAAAAAAUCAGUGGCAAGAUAUAUGGGUUUGUGUGCUCGUGUUGUGAUAUGUAUUUCUGAAAUCUACUGUGAAACCUUUCAGAUAUAUAUGUGUGUGUGUAUAUACACACACACACCAUUUGUCUCCAUAUGUGAUGUGCUAAUUACAAGCCACGGCAAACUUCCAAAUGCCAGAUGAAGGAGGAGAAGACACUCUUUUGCAGGCCCUAUAUAGACCUAAAUCUGCAACAGUGUCUGGAGAUAAUUUAUUGCUGAUUGCUUGAAAAGAAGAAGUAGUACAGUGGUACCUCUGGUUAAGAACUUAAAUCGUUCCGGAGGUCCAUUCUUAACCUGAAACUGUUCUUAACCUGAAGCACCACUUUAGCUAAUGGGGCCUCCCGCUGCUGCUGCGCCGCCGGAACACAAUUUCUGUUCUCAUCCUGAAGCAAAGUUCUUAACCCGAGGUACUAUUUCUGGGUUAGCGGAGUCUGUAACCUGAAGUGUAUGUAACCUGAAGUGUAUGUAACCCGAGGCACCACUGUACCUUGGAAGCCGAACACCUUGGAUCCCGAACAAAUUGGCUCCUGAACGAUCAAAACCUGGAAGUGACUGUUCCGCUUUUCGAGAACGAGUGUUCCUGCAGCCAAUCAGAAGCCGCGCUUUGGUUUUCGAACUGUUCCAAGAGUCAAACAGACUCCUGGAACCAGAGGCGGAGCUAGCUGCUCUGGCACCCGGAGUGGCGCACAUGCUUUGCACCCAGGGAUGAGGCUAGCUGCCCACGGGGGUGGGGCGAACAUCCCAGAGGGGCGGGGCAGUGAUGUCACCCCCCCUCAGGGAUAACACCCAGGGCAGACCGCACCCACUGCACCCACCUUCCUCCGCCAGUGCCUGGAACGCAUUCUGUUCGAAAACCAAGGUACCACUGUAAUAAUAAUAAUAAUAAUAAUAAUAAUAAUAAUAAUAGUAUCUACUUUGCUCAGGGGGUUGCAUAACUCCAUGCCCUCCAAUAUUUAUCAGUUGAAAAUAGGGAUGUCUUAAGGAAAUGUGGUAUAUUCUGGGAUCAAAUCAGAAAUAUCCGGCUAAUGGGGGUAUACAGUUCAGCCGGUGCCUGCACUGGCCUCAAUACCUGAGGAUGAGAGGAGUAGGUGUAAGCGGGGGGGGGGGGGGGAGUAGUCAAAAGCUCAUGUUAUUUAUUUGUGGAAAUGCUAUAUGAGAAGCACCAAUUAUCAAAGGGACCAAUCAGUUUCCGAAUCCGCCAAUUAAAACAGGUAUAACAAAGAAAAAGAUUAUAACGAAGGCAUGAGCUGUUACAAUAACAUUGUACACCUGGUCGUCCCCAAGAAGUGUGCCUUAACUGACUGAAUUAUGUUCGAAUUAGAAGGUUAAGGGCUGUGCCGACCAUACCAGCCCAGCCGCCAGAUAGGAGAUAUAGGGUGCCGAUAUCCUUAUGGUUAGUUGAAAAUCGUCAACGAAUUAAGGACACAGGUAGGGUGGUUGAAUGGUCAGGGGGUGGCUGUAGACCCCCACGUGGGGGUUUGAUUCCCUCUCCUAUCCGAAUAGGAAGAAGCUUCGUGGUGUUCACACGCCAAAAUGCAAAUUUGGAGAAGUACUAUAAAGGUUCUGGGGCUUCCUCCAUUUUUUUUUCUAACGGGGGAAGGGGUGGAUGGAAACUCGCUGGGUUGGGUUUUUAGCUGUUAACUAAAAUUUUGCAGGAUUGAGGCCUGCCCAUCUAGAUAGUCCUUAGCUUAAUUAAAGUGUUUGUGUUGCAUUCAGAAGAUGUAUAUUAGAAUAGGUCUUAUCAGAAGCUAGGUGUUUUAGACCUCUAGGGCUUUGAAGGCCUCUGGUUUGAAUGUUACCUAAGUUUCUAGGUAUAAAUUAAUGGUGUGAGAGGGAUGAGGAGGGAUGUAACUAUUAUUGUUGGGGUUGGGUUGGUUGGUUUAGCUGGUUUAAAUCAUCAUUUUAUUGUGUUGUUGGUUGUGUUAGGGAAGAUAGUUAACGUAACAUAUGUUAGGUGUAUAUAAAAUAUUAAGCUGAGUAGAGAGGUUAGGGUGAGUAUAGUUGCUAGUGGGGUGAGGUGGUUGGCUGUUAAUUCUUCUAGGAUUAAUCAUUUUGGUAUGAAGCCUGUUAGUAGGGGGGAGGGCCCCCAAGUGAUAUUAGGGUAAUUAUUGCGGUAGUGGUAAGUGCUGGAGAGGUUGUCCACAUUAUUCCUAAGUCUUUAGUGGUGUGGAGAUGAUAAGAGUUAGGAAUAUGGAGGUGGUUAUUAGCAGAUAAGCUGUUAGGGGUAGGAGUAGUAGUUUUUGCGAUAAAGAUGUAAUGAUAAUUACUCAUCCAAGCUGUGCGAUUGAUGAGAAUGCUAUGAUUUUUCAUAAUUGGGUUUUGUUUUGUUGUUGUUUUGUCGUUUAGUCGUGUCCGACUCUUCGUGACCCCAUGGACCAGAGCACUCCAGGCACUCCUGUCUUCCACUGCCUCCCGCAGUUUGGUCAAACUCAUGCUGGUAGCUUCAAGAACACUAUCCAACCAUCUCGUCCUCUGUCGUCCCCUUCUCCUUGUGCCCUCCAUCUUUCCCAACAUCAGGGUCUUCCAGGGAGCCUUCUCUUCUCAUGAGGUGGCCAAAGUAUUGGAGCCUCAGCUUCAGGAUCUGUCCUUCCAGUGAGCACUCAGGACUGAUUUCCUUCAGAAUGGAGAGGUUUGAUCUUCUUGCAGUCCAUGGGACUCUCAAGAUUCUCCUCCAGCACCAUAAUUCAAAAGCAUCAAUUCUUUGGCGAUCAGCCUUCUUUAUGGUCCAGCUCUCACUUCCAUACAUCACGACUGGGAAAACCAUAGCUUUAACUAUACGGACCUUUGUUGGCAAGGUGAUGUCUCUGCUUUCUAAGAUGCUGUCUAGGUUUGUCAUUGCUUUUCUCCCAAGGAGCAGGCGUCUUUUAAUUUCGUGGCUGCUGUCACCACCUGCAGUGAUCAUGGAGCCCAAGAAGGUAAAAUCUCUCACUGCCUCCAUUUCUUCCCCUUCUAUUUGCCAGGAGGUGAUGAGACCAGCCUGGAUCAACCUCCAAUCAGGGAUUUGUUUGGGCGUGUGUGUGUGUGUGUUGUAGAAACUAGGGCUGGAUCUAGACACAUCAAAAAGGCGUUUCAGGAAAACGCAUUGUAAACCUUAUAAUGGGGAAUUUCACGUUGCCGAAAGACAGAACUCUACAGCGCCAUUUGGUGUCACUGUGUAAUAACGCAUUUAAAAUGCUUUUUAUUAUUAUUAAUGUAGCUGAGCCCUAGCCCGUCGAACAAAAGUAAAAUUUGCACCCAUUGCUCUGCCAACUUUGCCUCUGACCCCACCUCCUACUGCCAUGUGGCCCUUCAAAGAAGGGGAUGUGGACCUGAAGCCGGGAAAAGAAAAGUUCCCCACCUCUCCAUUAGACUGCGAUAUGUGCUUGAUGGGUCAUUAGAAAUUAGAAUGGGGUCUUAAUGAGCGCAUCAGGGAUCUGCCCAGUGUCGAGAGCUUACUAAAACCAUGCAACGGGCAAUCAUUUCUGCGGCUCCUAACCCCACCCCACGUCCCUGUCGCCAUUACCCAUCACCAGUUCUAGAGUAACAACCAAUCACAUGCAUGGGAAAAAUACUUCCAAGCAGAGCCUGAUUGGCUUGGCCUCGGUUGAAAAUAUCCUCUGCCGCAGAAACCACCAUGACAUCAGGCUGAGGGAGAAAGGAUGUCCCCACCGUUGGGCCUUAAACGAUGGGGUAUUUCCUUCGCAGCACAGCUUUCUAUAAUCACGCUUAAGUACAGGUUCCUUGUGGUGAGAGGACUGAGUCACCCCUAGUCAUUGAUACAUUUUUUCCCACGGAAGAAAGUUUCUGAAAUGCAGACCACGCAGUUAGAAACGGUGACCUUUUUUUUGUUGUUGCUACUGACUUGCAAAAGAUGGAACCAGAUCAGUCGUGCUGCUUCUUUUCUGCCCCCUUUUCCCACAGCAAAAGUUACGUUGUGUAGUUCGAAAACACUUGCAAUGCUGUUAUUUUUCUCUUGAGCAUGUGUGUGUGUGUUGUGUUGUCCCCAGAUUUUUCUACACACAGAGACAUUUUCCCUUCUUUGUUUUCAGCAUUCUUCCACCGUUUUCAGUGUUUUGGAUACAGGCCACAUUUGUUUCUACUCAUUUUUAUAAUUACACAGAGCAUCAGUUGUAUCCCAUGGAAGUGAUUAUACACAUUAGCAAGGAGACAGAGUAUGUACCAUAAGGAACAUAGGAAGCUGCCUUUUACUGAGACAGCAACUCACCAGGGUUUCAAGUCUUCCUCAGCUCCACCUGGAGAUAGAAUCUGGGACAUUCUGCAGUGACCUUCAAAAUAAUAAUUUUUAAUGGCUUCUCAUUAUCUGUUCCACACAAGAUAUGGUCCAAAGGGCCACUUCACACCUGUGCCAGCUUGAAUAAAAUAUUGAGGGAGGCCAGGUAAGCCCUGCCCCACCUAACCGCAGGAUGCGGUGCGUGUUGUGAUAUGCACACACACCAAUGCACAUCAAUGGGAGGCUGCCCCCUCAAAUAUUUUUUUGGGGAGGCUGAAGGGACCUUGGCCCCUAGGAAAUGGCUCCAGUGCACCUGUGAGCUUUGAACUCAUUUCAUCAAAGAGGAGACCUUAGCUAAAAGCGUCAGAUAGCAGGUAACACGAAUGACCUCUGAGGUCAUGGAGAGCUAGGGAAAAAUGAGGUAGAUGGACAAAUGUCUGCUCCUCUGUAAGGCAGAUUUCUAAGUCCCCUAAGUGUCUCGUGCCAGGUAGAUGUUGCAAACAAUGUGAGAGGAUAACAUGUUCACAGUGUCCAAGGCUAAGUGUUGGAAGCGCUACAGCAGGGUUCAUUCAGUUUGUAAUUUAAGAGUUAAUUAUGUUAGUGUUAAAGUGAACCAGGCCAGACUGUGAUGAGUGGAGGUGUUGCUUAGCAACCAAGCAGAGUGGUAGGGACUUCACUGAGGUCACAUGUGCUGUCUAGUACUGAGGAAGUUCUUCCUCUGUAUGUUUGGUUGAAUUUCUCCAUGCUAUACACAAUUGAGAAAAACAAAGCCUCCUUGUUCCUUUCUCCUCAAACUAUACACUAGCUUUUAUCAGUAUCCCAGAAAAGGUGUUAUUAGGAUAUGUUCUCUCUCUGAACUCCAAAGUGAAUUUGCUUACAGAAAGAUAGAAAAAAUACCAGCCGGGAGGAAUUUAUCAUCAAGCUCAGAUAAAGACUGUCUACUAGGGAUACGAAGAUUGUCUCUGGACUUCAGCAGCAAUCCUGCAGCAUGGUUUGACCCAACAAGAAGGCAAAUCCAAUGGUGUGCUCCCAGCGUACCCAUGUAUAUAUAUAUCUCAAUAUCAGGUUACUUCCCCCAGGGAUGAUGGGCGUUGUAGUCCCAAAACAUCUGGAGGACCAAGUUUGCCUAUGCCUGGAGUAGAGCAUGCAAUACCUCCUUGUAUAAUACUGGCAGCAAGACCAAUACACAAGAAAUGGCCUUUCAGAAGUAAUGGACCAAAUCAAGCUUUCAAAAAUACAGUAAAGAGAUGUGGAGCAGACUCAGACUACAAUGAUUUUUGUUGGGGAGUGUUUUUUUGUUUGCUCUGUUUUUGUUUUUUAACUUGUUUCUCCACUUGCAUGUGAAAAACUCAAACUUAACGAUUCUCAUCACAGACACACAGAAACUAUUAAGUUGUGGGUUGACAUAGCAGACGACACCGCGAUUUCUCCAAAGCAGCUCUUUAUUUUGUAAGCUGGAACAGAACUAAGCUGAGGAGCUCAGUCAGCCUGCUUAUAUAGAGCUACAGAACAAUUGUAACUGCUGCAACGUUCUAAAACUAUCCAAUCACUGAACGUCACUUUUCAAUCCUUCAUUUGCAUACAAAACUAUCCAAUCACUGAAGGUCACUUUUCGAUCCUUCAUUUGCAUAACUAUCUACAGUAUCCCCCUGCUGGCCCAGGGUGAGAACUUCAGUACAUAACAGACACG